rnacentral:lncRNA from 1 species
UUUUUUUUUGUGCAAAAAAUGUAUUUUUUUCGCGAGAGUACGAUUUUGUUUUCGCGAGAGGCACGGCCGUGCCUCUUGGAAACGAAAAAAAAAACGUGUUUUCUAUUUUUUUUCUUUCGCGAGAGGCACGGUUUUUCUUCCGCGAGAGGCAGGGUUGUGCUUUCGCGAGAGGGGGUGUGCCUCUUUCGGAAAGGGAAAAAACGAGUUUUCUGUUUUUUUUCUUUUGCAAGAGGCACGGUUUUGCUUCCGCCAGAGGCACGGUUGUGCUUUCGCGAGAGGCAUGGGCGUGCCUCUUUCGGAAAGGGAAAAAACGCGUUUUCUGUUCUUUUUUCUUUCGCGAGAGGCACGGUAUUGCUUCCGCCAGAGGCACGGUUGUGCUUUCGCGAGACGCACGCGCGUGCCUCUUUCGGAAAGGAAAAAAAACAUGUUUUCUGUUUUUUUUUCUUUCGCGAGAGGCACGGUUGUGCUUUUGCCAGAGGCACGGGCGUGCCUCUUUUGCAAAAGGAAAAAAACGGGUUUUCUAUUUUUUUUCUUUUGUGAGAGGCACGGUUUUGUUUCCGCGAGAGGCACAGUUGUGAUUUCGUCAGAAGCACAGGCGUGCCUCUUUCGGAAAGGAAAAAAACCCGUGUUUCCGGUUCGGUUUUUUCAUCGGUUUUUUUUCGUCCGGUUUUUUCGUGAAAAAAAAGUUCGCCAAAACCUAUCAACAUGGGAUCUAGUUUUGAAGAUCUCGACGCGAGGAAUCCAAUGGCGAAAGCGGUUCGAGAUUUGGACGCACGGUUUAAGAGAUAAAACAUUUUGAAUAAACGGAUCUACGAAAAAGGGAAAACUCCCAGGUUGCGACAAGCACAUGCAGCGCGCCACUUGUCGCAACCUGGGAAAGUUGGAGUGAACUCCGCAAGGAGUACUCCUUAAUUAGUGAUUUCGGUCCUUCCCUCUCUACCUUUGUUAUUUCUUUGUUUCUCUAUUUUAUGUGUUUUUCAUUUGUUUUUCCUUUUCUUUAUUAGUCGGUUUAUUUUCUUUUGUGAGUAUUUUUGGAUGUUCUGUGAGUAUGCAUGUAUUCACACAAUACUAUACAGUAUGUGCGAAAGUCCAUGAUUAUAUGAUUAUUCCUUGCUUAGAACAAAAAAGUACAAUUUUAGUGCAAAUUUGUGUGCACAUUCUUAAAAAAAUUAUUUCAAUUGUUUUCUUCUUAAGAGGCAAUACUGUCACGCCCAAUAUGCGAUACUAUCCUAAAGAGACUCGAAGGUCCCACCAAGGAUAGAACCGCAUAUUGAAACGCUUUUGCAAGGUGGAUAUCAUUACAUCAAUAUUACAUAAUAGAUGGUGAUACAUACAUAAGGCGUACAAUGCCACAUGAAUACAACAUCACAAUACAUAAGAGCAUCAUCCGACUAUGGAUGAAACACAAACAGAAACUCAAACGACAUCCACCCUGCUAGCCCAGGCUGUCGACCUGGAACCUAUCCCCUGAAAGAAGAAGAAGUAGAAGAAAAACUCCAAAAUAAGCACACAUCGCUCUCGCGUCAAGAUCAUCGCAUAACCUGUACCUGCAACUGUUGUUGUAGUAAUCUGUGAGCCACGAGGACUCAGCAAUCCCAUUACCAUGGGUAUCAAGACUAGCAAAGCUUAAAGGAAAAGGAAGGGGGUAAAGUGGUGAGGUUGCAGCAGCGACUAAGCAUAUAUGGUGGCUAACAUACGCAAAUAAAAGCGAGAAGAGAGCAAAUGGAACGGUCGUGAAGCUAGCAAUGAUCAAGAAGUGAUCCCGAACUCCUACCUACGUCAACCAUAACCCAAAACCGUGUUCACUUCCCGGACUCCGCCGAAAAAAGACUAUCACGGCUACACACACAGUUGAUGCGUUUUAAUUCGGAUCAGGUGUCAAGUUAUCUACAACCGGACAUUAACAAAUUCCCAUCUGCCCAUAACCGUGGGCACGGCUUUCGAAAGAUAAUACCCUGCAGGGGUGUCCCAACUUAGCCCAUCAUAAGCUCUUGCGAUCAACGAAGGAUAUACCUUCUCCCAGGAAGACCCGAUCAGACUCGGAAUCCUGGUUUACAAGACAUUUCGACGAUGGUAAAACAAGACCAGCAAAGCCGCCCGAUGUGCCAACAAAUCCCGAUAGGAGCUGCACAUAUCUCGUUCUCAGGGCACACCGGAUAGGUCAGCCUACGAGUAAAACCAGCCCUCGAGUUGCCCCGAGGUGGCCCCGCAGUCUGCCCGUUUCAGACCAACACUCGAAGGAGCACUGGCCCGGGGGGGGGGCCCUAAAAUAAAGAUGACCCUCGGGCUCCGGAAACCCAAGGAAAAAGGGCUAGGUGAGGCAAAUGGUAAAACUAAGGUUGGGCUUUGCUGGAGGAGUUUUAUUCAAAGCGAACUGUCAAGGGGGUCCCAUAAAUCACCCAACAGCGUAAGGAACGCAAAAUCCGGGAACAUAACACCGGUAUGACGGAAACUAGGGCGGCAAGAGUGGAACAAAACACCAGGCAUAAGGCCGAGUCUUCCACCCUUUACCAAGUAUAUAGAUGCAUUAAUAAUAUAAGAGAUAUUGUGAUAUCCCAACAUAAUCCUGUCCACCAUGGGGCAAUCUUCAACUUCACCCGCAACUAACAAUGUUAUAAGAGGGGCUGAGUAAAAGCGGUAACAUAGCCAAGCAACGGUUUGCUAGGAAGGGUGAAAAGGUUAGAGGCUGACAUGGCAAAUUGGGAGGCUUGAUAAACAGGUGAUAGGUAGUGCAGCAUAGCGAUAGAACGAAGCAACUAGCAUAGCAAUGAUAGUAGUGAGAUCCAGGGUAGUGGUCAUCUUGCCUGAAAUCCCGCAAGGAAGAAGACCGCGUCCAUGAAGAAGAUGAAGCCACGAAGACGAACCAAGCGUAGACGAACGGAUCCUCACGAUCGCAACGAAACGUGAACUAUCGAGAAGAAGCACACAACAUGGUAAACACACCACACAUAGACAAGACAUGAUGCACAACAAGCAUGAUGCAUGGCAAAGCUACAUGAAGCUACUCAUGGCAAGAGAUGAUGCAUACAAGAACAACACAUCAAAGCAAGUUUAAACGAGGCCGGGAACAACAUAUAACAAAUCCGGUAAGUCCUCAUAUGCAAAUUUCGAAAUAAGUCCAGAUCUGAAUAACCCUUAAGUUCAAGUUGUUCAACAGCAAGUUAAGGUGCACCAAGAUGAUCUACAUGAUAUUCUAGUCAAGUUACAUAUAAAGUUCAUUUAGUUCGGAGCUACGGCCUAGAAGAUAUGAGCAAAACAAGUUAAACAUGGCAUUAACGCAAAAUGCAUACAAACAUCAAGCAAACACCUCAAAACAAGGAUGCAACAUGAUAAUAUGAAACUUCAUGCAAAAUCAAGCAAGUUUCAUAUAGAGCACACUCAAAACGGAGCAACGGUUCAACACAUACGCUCUAUACAAGUUAAGGCAACAAUCUGUCCAAAACAGCAACUAGGCAUAUUGCAAGCAUAAAAACAAUCUGCUACAGUACCACAAUAUGAAAACAAAAGGCAUGGACAUGAUGUACAGGUAAAGCAUAACAAAACAUGAACACUGAUCUAUCUCCAGAAAUCACUAGAACAUGCUCAAAAAACACAUGACAAGAUUGCAAAUAAUAACAGUUUCAGACUUUGCAGAAAUAACAACAGGUUGCAAUGUUUAGAGCUAUCACACAACAUGUUACAGGAUCUAUCGUGGCAAACAAAGGCAUGGAAUGAACCUACUAAUUGCAUAGAAUAAAAGUCUCUUACUGACCAUGAGCCAAAAAGGAUCAGAAGAUAUGAUGGCACCCAUGUAAACAUGGCAAGUUAUAUGACAGAUUCAUACAUGGCAGGAACAACAAUAAAUAGGCAUGUUGAUGAGCUUGUACCACUCACCACAGAGCAACAAUAAAUAGGCAUGGCAAGGCAACCAACAGAAAGAAGACAUGUUUAUGAAGCUAAGCAUGGCAAGAGUAAGUUCAUAGGGUGCAUGGAUCACUAGAAAAACACAUGGCAAAACUGAACUUAAUGUUAACAGGCUGAUAGCAACAUUAUUUAGCAAUUUGAGAGCAAGAUUACAACAAGCUACGACAGGCUAUAAUUUCAACCAGGGGCAUGGAUGGAUAUAGCAUGACAUGUAUAACAAAAUAUCCUUAGUGAACAUCUCCAGAUUAUGCAUAUAAUGACUUGUAGCAGCAGGUUUACAUAGCAUCACAAAAUAACAGAUUUAGCCUAGGAAAACAGCAACAGCAAGUACCAUACUUAACAAGCUUGAUGCACUCACUACACAACUCACAAAAAUACAUAGAUGGCACCCCUAUAAAGAUUACAUGAUUUAGUUCAAAACACAUGUAGAGCUCAUGCUCAUAAGAUGCACACAUCAAAUGCAACGAAAAAGACAAAUCAUCAAGUUAUAACAGUUUCAGCAGAUUAACAUUAUAUAGCACUCUUGCAACGAUGAUUCAGGCAUCAAGAUGGACUCAAAUGAACAUGAUGCAAUGGAAUGAAAUGAAGAGCAUCUCUCACUGAACACUUUGAUAUAUCAUAUGCAUGAAACGGAGCUACGGAUGCAGAGUUAUGAUGCGAUGAACAUGUCAUAAAAAUACUGUAGACUUAUGGGGAAAACGAGGUCAACCUAGGGGUCCUCAGAUCUGGAUCUAAGCACGGAUCCCGAGGUUGGGCCGGAGCUGCUCGCCGGAGUAGAAGAGGAGAUGGCCGGAGACGGGGCGCGGGGAGGCACGACCGGAGCGAGGGGAGGCCGACGGGCGAGGCGAGGCGUGGGGGCGGCGGCGCCAUGGCCGGGGCGGCGGGACGACGGGGCCAGGCGGCNNNNNNNNNNNNNNNNNNNNNNNNNNNNNNNNNNNNNNNNNNNNNNNNNNNNNNNNNNNNNNNNNNNNNNNNNNNNNNNNNNNNNNNNNNNNNNNNNNNNNNNNNNNNNNNNNNNNNNNNNNNNNNNNNNNNNNNNNNNNNNNNNNNNNNNNNNNNNNNNNNNNNNNNNNNNNNNNNNNNNNNNNNNNNNNNNNNNNNNNNNNNNNNNNNNNNNNNNNNNNNNNNNNNNNNNNNNNNNNNNNNNNNNNNNNNNNNNNNNNNNNNNNNNNNNNNNNNNNNNNNNNNNNNNNNNNNNNNNNNNNNNNNNNNNNNNNNNNNNNNNNNNNNNNNNNNNNNNNNNNNNNNNNNNNNNNNNNNNNNNNNNNNNNNNNNNNNNNNNNNNNNNNNNNNNNNNNNNNNNNNNNNNNNNNNNNNNNNNNNNNNNNNNNNNNNNNNNNNNNNNNNNNNNNNNNNNNNNNNNNNNNNNNNNNNNNNNNNNNNNNNNNNNNNNNNNNNNNNNNNNNNNNNNNNNNNNNNNNNNNNNNNNNNNNNNNNNNNNNNNNNNNNNNNNNNNNNNNNNNNNNNNNNNNNNNNNNNNNNNNNNNNNNNNNNNNNNNNNNNNNNNNNNNNNNNNNNNNNNNNNNNNNNGCGCGGGCCGGCGCGGAGGGCGCGGGGGCCACGUGGCGGCACGCCACUGGUUGGGAGCGGCGGCGAGGAAGCGUCCAGUCCGGGACGGACAUGUCCGGCAGACGAGAGGAGCGGGGCUAGGGUUUCGGGGGGAAAACAUCCGCGAAUUGAGGGGAAGGGCCUAUUUAUAGAUUCUGGGAGCUAGGAGAGUCCAAAUGAGGCACGGUUUUCUCCCACACUAUCGUGGUCGAACGACCGAGAGCAUGGAGGGGGUUUGGAUGGGUUCAUCGGCUGUGGUGAAGAAGGGCUGGGAUGCAAAGAGAGAGGGGUUCCAGGCUACCUGGUUAACCGUAGGAGUAUCAAACGACCUCCAAAUGGCACGAAACUUGACAGGAGGUCUACCGGUGCUAUACCAAGGUCGCUUGGCAAACCUCGGGCCAUUCCGAGAAAGUUCAACACCCGCUCACAACAGGAGACAAAAGGGGAACGCUGGAGGACAUAGGAGUGCCGGAUUGCAAAACAGACAACGGGGAAAAUGAUCGGAUGCAAGAAACGAACAUGUAUGCAAAAUGAAAUGCACAUGAUGACAUGAUAAAAUGCAACAGGCAAUUAAAUGACAUGGCAAUGACGGCGAAUAACUGGAGGACACCUGGCGUAUUGAAACCGGGGUGUUACAACACUCCUCCACUAACAAGAGAUCUCGUCCCGAGAUCUUAGGACCGAGACGAAAGGGAAAAGGGAUGAGGUGAAACAAGAACUCAAGAGAAGAAGCAAAGAAUCGCGAGCACACGAGAAGAAGACAGGAACGACGAGAAUGACGAGAAUCAAAAUCUCAUGGAAACAAGAUAGACUCUGAAAGCACUCCGGUUAGAACGAGAUAAGAAACGAAUAAGACUGAAAAGAUUUAAGCAGCACUCCGGCUGAAAAUGGAAGGAAUAGAACAUGAACUAGAGAGGAUGGAAAGAUACUUGAUGAAGACAUGACACAAAACCUCCAGAAAGAAUUGAAAGAGUUGAAUGAAAAGAACUUAGAAGGAAAGGUUGAACGGAGUUGUUGAGAAAAUCAACAACGAAAGAAUAAACUUGUUGUGGUCUUAUAGAUAACAUCUCAAGAUCAUAAGGUGAUAACCGGCCACAAACGGAAAUGACUAAAUAGCUGAGAAAACGAAGAAAUGCAAAACUCCACUUCAAAAGAAUACGAAGAAUUAAUUGCACUUCGAGACACAAGAAGAAAAGAUACUUGAACUCCACUGACAAGAAUCUUGAUGAACACUUGAAGAAUGAAUUAAAUCAUGAAGAUCCACCAUGAAGAACUCCGGUGACAAAAGGAUGACGAGAUAAACUGAAGGAUGAAAGAAUAAGAUGAGUGUUGCGAUGAUUUAGAUGGAGGUUCCGACGAAAUGACCGAGGAAAUUUGAACUCCGAAAAAGAAAAGAUGAAAACACUUGGAACUAGAAUUUAUUCCUCAAGAACAAACUCUGAAGGAAGGGAUUACUCACUUGGAUGAAAUAAGAAUAAGAUUUAUUGUAUGCUAACCCUUCAUCAAAUUAAAUUGAAGACAAGCAAUGGAUUUUGCAUACUACUUAUUCUUCUUGAAAAGGAUUGAGAAGUGACAUAGCGCCACCUUUAGGAAGGUCUUCAGUGAACCACCGUUAGGAUUUGUAAAGAACGAAUGAAUUGAUAUGAUAAUCAAGGAAAAAGAAUCUUGAACAAACCACCGUAAGAAUUCGAAAAUGAAUGAUGAAAGAGAAUGAAUCACCAGGAAGAAUUAGCAGAACAAAUAUGCUAAAGGGGAUUUAGAUGCAAAAGAACAAAGAGAUCAUGAGCUGAUUAAUGAACACUUGAACGAAGCACCGGGAUAAUUGGAUAACGGUAGCUGAAAUGUGAGGACGAAGAAUUCUUCUGGGAUGACGGCCUCCGGUGAAACGAAAAAGAAAUCAACUCCUGAAAUACUCCGGAUAGGUGAGAAAAAGGAAUAUCUGACAAAUGGAAUAAUAUGAGAGGAUAACAUGAAGCUAGAAACACGAAUCUUCGAGAGAACAUACAAGAUUUAGAGGAAAAGCUCUUCUUCGGUCUUUAAAUGACAAUGAGAAACACCAGCAAAAUUACUGAGAUACUCCGGGAGAAUGAAAAAGAGGAAGUGUUGAACCAAAGAUGAAAAGAAUUUGAAAGCGAACUUGGAGAUGGCAUCUGACUGAUGAAAUUCAUUCUUACGUCACACUUGAAAAGAAUUAGGAAUGGCUCCGGAAUAAUUAGAAGAGUCAGGUAAGAUCCUGGGAAAAGACCUGUGGGUUAGGGGCCACUAAAGGAAAGCACUGUUGGAAAGGAUGUUGAAUAGAUAGGUGAUGCACCGGAACAAUUGAAAUAUUUAAAUGAGGUGACAACCUCGAAUUAAUUGGAACACGGACGAAUCUCUUGAGAUGUCUUGAACACUCCAGAAGGAUUGAAUGGCGAGAGGUAAACGAGCAGGGGAAACACUUUAACCAAGGGAAGGAAUAUGAUCAACGCCGAAAAACUUGAAUUGAGUCCACCGGAGGAGAAAAAGAGCAGAAGAAUGACAAACAAGGCGAGAAUUCACCGGUUGAAAUAAUUGAGGGAAGACUGAAGAGGCUCCGUACGAAUGAAAAUUGAUGCUCGAAACAGACUCAGGCUCCGGGAAGAAGAGGGUGGGAGGGCGGGAAAACAAAGGCAACUCAGAAGGUGAAAUCGACGAAUAACUUGAAGAGAAAACGCCGGUUGAAAUCAUUGAGGAGAGAGAGCAAAACUUCGCACGAGUAGGAUGGAUACUCAAUUACGGACUCGGACUCCCAGAAGAAAAGGGUGGGCGGGUGGGAAAAGAAGACAACCGAGGAUUGAACUUGGCAAAGAUGAAGAGGCUCGCGUCAACUUGACGAGAAAUGCACCGGAUGAAAAAGAGCUGAGAACCAACGAUCGGAAAACCAACUGCGUGAUCCUAAAGAAAAAUUUGAAGGGGAAGAGAAGUAAUUCAAAACACCUACGUCAAGAUUCCUCACCAGAGCGACGAAGGGGCUGAGGAGUAAAAGGAAUUCCUACUCUCCGAUAUAACUAGACUCCAAAAACAGUUUUCUUCUAGACUCGACAACAGCCAAACUACAAGAUCAAUCAAGGGGGCUCCUAGGGUCGGUCGAGGCUCUGAUACCAACUUUUCACGCCCAAUAUGCGAUACUAUCCUAAAGAGACUCGAAGGUCCCACCAAGGAUAGAACCGCAUAUUCAAACGCUUUUGCAUGCUGGAUAUCAUUACAUCAAUAUUACAUAAUAGAUGGGGAUACAUACAUAAGGCAUACAAUGCCACACGAAUAAAACAUCACAAUACAUAAGAGCAUCAUCCGACUACGGAUGAAACACAAACAGAAACUCAAAGGACAUCCACCCUGCUAGCCCAGGCUGCUGACCUAGAACCUAUCCCCUGAUCGAAGAAGAAGCAGAAGAAAAACUCCAAAAUAAGCGCACAUCGCUCUCGCAUCAAGAUCAUCGCAUAACCUGUACAUGCAACUGUUGUUGUAGUAAUCUGUGAGCCACGAGGACUCAGCAAUCCCAUUACCAUGGGUACCAAGACUAGCAAAGCUUAAAGGGAAAGGAAGGGGGUAAAGUGGUGAGGUUGCAGCAGCGACUAAGCAUAUAUGGUGGCUAACAUACGCAAAUAAGAGCGAGAAGAGAGCAAAUGGAACGGUCGUGAAGCUAGCAAUGAUCAAGAAGUGAUCCUGAACUCCUACCUACGUUAACCAUAACCCAAAACCGUGUUCACUUCCCGGACUCCACCGAGAAAAGACCAUCACAGCUACACACACGGUUGAUGCGUUUUAAUUCGGAUCAGGUGUCAAGAUAUCUACAACCGGACAUUAACAAAUUCCCAUCUGCCCAUAACCGCGGGCACGGCUUUCGAAAGAUAAUACCCUACAGGGGUGUCCCAACUUAGCCCAUGAUAAGCUCUCGCGAUCAACGAAGGAUAUACCUUCUCCCAGGAAGACUCCAUCAGACUCGGAAUCCUGGUUUACAAGACAUUUCGACGAUGGUAAAACAAGACCAGCAAAGCCGCCCGAUGUGCCGACAAAUCCCGAUAGGAGCUGCACAAAUCUCGUUCUCAGGGCACACAGGAUAUGUCAGCCUACGAGUAAAACCAGCCCUCGAGUUGCCCCCCGAGGUGGCCCCGCAGUCUGCCCGUUUNNNNNNNNNNNNNNNNNNNNNNNNNNNNNNNNNNNNNNNNNNNNNNNNNNNNNNNNNNNNNNNNNNNNNNNNNNNNNNNNNNNNNNNNNNNNNNNNNNNNNNNNNNNNNNNNNNNNNNNNNNNNNNNNNCGGGCUCCGGAAACCCAAGGGAAAAAGGGCUACGUGAGGCAAAUGGUAAAACCAAGGUUGGGCCUUGCUGGAGGAGUUUUAUUCAAAGCGAACUGUCAAGGGGGUCCCAUAAAUCACCCAACCGCGUAACGAAUGCAAAAUCCGGGAACAUAACACCGGUAUGACGGAAACUAGGGCGGCAAGAGUGGAACAAAACACCAGGUAUAAGGCCGAGUCUUCCAACCUUUACCAAGUAUAUAGAUGUAUUAAUAAUAUAAGAGAUAUUGUGAUAUCCCAACAUAAUCCUGUCCACCAUGGGCAAUCUUCAACUUCACCUGCAACUAACAACGCUACAGCAGGCUAUAAUUGCAACCAGGGGCAUGGAUGGAUAUAGCAUGACAUGUAUAACAAAACAUCCUUAGUGAACAUCUCCAGAUUAUGCAUAGAAUGACUUGUAGCAGCAGGUUUACAUAGCAUCACGAAAUAACAGAUUCAGCCUAGCAAAACAGCAAUAGCAAGUAGCCUACUUAACAAGCUUGAUGCACUCACUACACAACUCACAAAAAUACAUAGAUGGCACCACUGUAAAGAUUACAUGAUGUAGUUCGAAACACAUGUAGAGCUCAUGCUCAUAAGAUGCACACAUCAAAUGCAACGAAAAAGACAUCAUCAAGUUAUAACAGUCUCAGCAGAUUAACAUCAUAUAGCACUCUUGCAAUGAUGAUUCAGGCAUCAAGAUGGACUCAAGUGAACAUGAUGCAAUGGAAUGAAAUGAAGAGCAUCUCUCACUGAACAUUGUGAUAUAUCAUAUGCAUGAAACGGAGCUAGGGGUAUAGAGUUAUGAUGCGAUGAACAUGUCAUAAAAAUACUGCAGACUUAGGGGGGAAAACGAGGUCAACCUAGGGGUCCUCCGAUCUGGAUAUGAGCACGGAUCCCGAGGUCAAGACGGAGCUGCUCGCCGGAGUAGAAGAGGAGGUGGCCGGAGACGGGGCGCGGGGGGGCCGGGGAGGCGCGGCCGGAGCGAGGGUAGGCCGGCGGGCGAGGCGAGGCGCNNNNNNNNNNNNNNNNNNNNNNNNNNNNNNNNNNNNNNNNNNNNNNNNNNNNNNNNNNNNNNNNNNNNNNNNNNNNNNNNNNNNNNNNNNNNNNNNNNNNNNNNNNNNNNNNNNNNNNNNNNNNNNNNNNNNNNNNNNNNNNNNNNNNNNNNNNNNNNNNNNNNNNNNNNNNNNNNNNNNNNNNNNNNNNNNNNNNNNNNNNNNNNNNNNNNNNNNNNNNNNNNNNNNNNNNNNNNNNNNNNNNNNNNNNNNNNNNNNNNNNNNNNNNNNNNNNNNNNNNNNNNNNNNNNNNNNNNNNNNNNNNNNNNNNNNNNNNNNNNNNNNNNNNNNNNNNNNNNNNNNNNNNNNNNNNNNNNNNNNNNNNNNNNNNNNNNNNNNNNNNNNNNNNNNNNNNNNNNNNNNNNNNNNNNNNNNNNNNNNNNNNNNNNNNNNNNNNNNNNNNNNNNNNNNNNNNNNNNNNNNNNNNNNNNNNNNNNNNNNNNNNNNNNNNNNNNNNNNNNNNNNNNNNNNNNGCGGGCGGUGACAGAUCGGGCGCGGGCUGCGGGGGCCGGCGACAGGCCGCGCGGGGGCCACGUGGCGGCGCGCCACUGGUUGGGAGCGGCGGCGGGGAGCGUCUGGUUCGGGACGGACAUGUCCGGCGGACGAGAGGAGCGGGGCUAGGGUUUCGGGGGAAAAACAUCUGCGAAUUGAGGGGAAGGGCCUAUUUAUAGAUUCUGGGAGCUAGGAGAGUCCAAAUGAGGCACGGUUUUCGCCCACACGAUCGUGAUCGAACGACCAAGAGCAUGGAGGGCGUUUGGAUGGGCUCGUGGGCUGUGGUGAAGAAGGGCUGGGCUGCAAAGAGAGAGGGGUUUCAGGCUACCCGGUUAACCGUAGGAGUAUCAAACGACCGCCAAAUGGCAUGAAACUUCACAGGCGGUCUACCGGUGCUAUACCAAGGCCGCUUGGCAAACCUCGGGACAUUGCGAGAAAGUUCAACACCCGCUCACAACAUGAGACAAAAGGGGAACGCCGGAGGACAUAUGAGUGCCGGAUUGCAAAACAGACAAUGGGGAAAAUGCUCGGAUGCAAGAAACGAACAUGUAUGCAAAAUGAAAUGCACAUGAUGACAUGGUAAAAUGCAACACGCAAUCAAAUGACAUGGCAAUGACGGCGAAUAACUGGAGGACACCUGGCGUAUUGAAACCGGGGUGUUACAACACUCCUCCACUAACAAGAGAUCUCGUCCCGAUAUCUUAGGACCGAGAUGAAAGGGAAAAGGGAUGAGGUGAAACAAGAACUCAAGAGAAGAAGCAAAGAAUCGCGAGCACACGAGAAGAAGAGAGGAGCGACGAGAAUGGCGAGAAUCAAAAUCUCAUGGAAACAAGAUUGACUCUGAAAGCACUCCGGUUAGAACGAGAUAAGAAACGAAUAAGACUGAAAAGAUUUAGGCAGCACUCUGGCUAAAAAUGGAAGGAAUAGAACAUGAACUAGAGAGGAUGGAAAGAUACUUGAUGAAGACAUGACACAAAACCUCCGGAAAGAAUUGAAAGAGUUGAAUGAAAAGAACUUAGAAGGAAAGGUUGAACGGAGUUGUUGAGAAAAUCAACAACGAAAGAAUAAACUUGUUGUGGUCUUAUAGAUAACAUCUCAAGAUCAUAAGGUGAUAACCGGCCACAAACGGAAAUGACUGAAUAGCUGAGAAGAACGAAGAAAUGCAAAACUCCACUUCAAAAGAAUACGAAGAAUUAAUUGCACUUCGAGACACAAGAAGAAAAGAUACUUGAACUCCACCGACAAGAAUCUUGAUGAACACUUGAAGAAUGAAUUAAAUCAUGAAGAUCCACCAUGAAGAACUCCGGUGACAAAAGGAUGAUGAGAUAAAAUGAAGGAUGAAAGAAUAAGAUGAGUGUUGCGAUGAUUUAGAUGGAGGUUCUGACGAAAUGACCGAGGAAAUUUGAACUCCGAAAAAGAAAAGAUGAAAACACUUGGAACUAGAAUUUAUUCCUCAAGAACAAACUCUGAAGGAAGGGAUUACUCACUUGGGUGAAAUAAGAAUAAGAUUUAUUGUAUGCUAACCCUUCAUCAAAUUAAAUUGAAGACAAGCAAUGGAUUUUGCAUACUACUUAUUCUUCUUGAAAAGGAUUGAGAAGUGACAUAGCGCCACCUUUAGGAAGGUCUUCAGUGAACCACCGUUAGGAUUUGUAAAGAACGAAUGAAUUGAUAUGAUAAUCAAGGAAAAAGUAUCUUGAACGAACCACCGUAAGAAUUCGAAAAUGAAUGAUGAAAGAGAAUGAAUCACCAGGAAGAAUUAGCAGAACAAAUAUGCUAGAGGGGAUUUAGAUGCAAAAGAACAAAGAGAUCAUGAGCUGAUUACAGAACACUUGAACGAAGCACCGGGAUAAUUGGAUAACGGUAGCUGAAAUGUGAGGACGAAGAAUUCUUCUGGGAUGAUGGCCUCCGGUGAAACGAAAAAGAAAUCAACUCCUGAAAUACUCCGGAUAGGUGAGAAAAAGGAAUAUCUGACAAAUGGAAUAAUAUGAGAGGAUAACAUGAAGCUAGAAACACAAAUCUUCGAGAGAACAUACAAGAUUUAGAGGAAAAAGCUCUUCUUCGGUCUUCAAAUGACGAUGAGAAACACCAGCAAAAUUACUGAGAUACUCCGGGAGAAUGAAAAAGAGGAAGUGUUGAACCAAAGAUGAAAAGAAUUUGAAAGCGAACUUGGAGAUGGCAUCUGACUGAUGAAAUUCAUUCUUACGUCACACUUGAAAAGAAUUAGGAAUGGCUCCGGAAUAAUUAGAAGAGUCAGGUAAGAUCCUGGGAAAAGACCUGUGGGUUAGGGGCCACUAAAGGAAAGCACCGUUGGAAAGGAUGUUGAAUAGAUAGGUGAUGCACCGGAACAAUUGAAAUAUUUAAAUGAGGUGACAACCUCGAAUUAAUUGGAACACGGACGAAUCUCUUGAGAUGUCUUGAACACUCCAAAAGGAUUGAAUGGCGAGAGGCAAAGGAGCAGGGGAAACACUUUAACCAAGGGAAGGAAUAUGAUCAACGCCGAAAAACUUGAAUUGAGUCCACCGGAGGAGAAAAAGAGCAGAAGAAUGACAAACAAGGCGAGAAUUCACCGGUUGAAAUAAUUGAGGGAAGACUGAAGAGGCUCCGUACGAAUGAAAAUUGAUGCUCGAAACAGACUCAGGCUCCGGGAAGAAGAGGGUGGGAGGGCGGGAAAACAAAGGCAACUCAGAAGGUGAAAUCGACGAAUAACUUGAAGAGAAAACGCCGGUUGAAAUCAUUGAGGAGAGAGAGCAAAACUUCGCACGAGUAGGAUGGAUACUCAAUUACGGACUCCGACUCCAAGAAGAAAAGGGUGGGCGGGUGGGAAAAGAAGACAACUGAGGAUUGAACUUGGCAAAGAUGAAGAGGCUCGAGUCAACUUGAUGAGAAACGCACCGGAUGAAAAAGAGCAGAGAACCAACGAUCGGAAAACCAACUGCCUGAUCCUAAAGAAAAAUUUGAAGGGGAAGAGAAGUAAUUCAAAACACCUACGUCAAGAUUCCUCACCAGAGCGACGAAGGGGCUGAGGAGUAAAAAUAAUUCCUACUCUUCGAUAUAACUAGACUCCAAAAACAGUUUUCUUCUAGACUCGACAACAGCCAAACUACAAGAUCAAUCAAGGGGGCUCCUAGGGUCGGUCGAGGCUCUGAUACCAACUUGUCACGCCCAAUAUGCGAUACUAUCCUAAAGAGACUCGAAGGUCCCACCAAGGAUAGAACCGCAUAUUCAAACGCUUUUGCAUGCUGGAUAUCAUUACAUCAAUAUUACAUAAUAGAUGGGGAUACAUACAUAAGGCAUACAAUGCCACACGAAUAAAACAUCACAAUACAUAAGAGCAUCAUCCGACUACGGAUGAAACACAAACAGAAACUCAAAGGACAUCCACACUGCUAGCCCAGGCUGCCGACCUAGAACCUAUCCCCUGAUCGAAGAAGAAGCAGAAGAAAAACUCCAAAAUAAGCACACAUCGCUCUCGCGUCAAGAUCAUCGCAUAACCUGUACAUGCAACUGUUGUUGUAGUAAUCUGUGAGCCACGAGGACUCAGCAAUCCCAUUACCAUGGGUAUCAAGACUAGCAAAGCUUAAAGGGAAAGGAAGGGGGUAAAGUGGUGAGGUUGCAGCAGCGACUAAGCAUAUAUGGUGGCUAACAUACGCAAAUAAGAGCGAGACGAGAGCAAAUGGAACGGUCGUGAAGCUAGCAAUGAUCAAGAAGUGAUCCUGAACUCCUACCUACGUUAACCAUAACCCAAAACCGUGUUCACUUCCCGUACUCCGCCGAGAAAAGACCAUCACAGCUACACACACGGUUGAUGCGUUUUAAUUCGGAUCAGGUGUCAAGAUAUCUACAACCGGACAUUAACAAAUUCCCAUCUGCCCAUAACCGCGGGCACGGCUUUCGAAAGAUAAUACCCUGCAGGGGUGUCCCAACUUAGCCCAUGAUAAGCUCUCGCGAUCAACGAAGGAUAUACCUUCUCCCAGGAAGACUCCAUCAGACUCGGAAUCCUGGUUUACAAGACAUUUCGACGAUGGUAAAACAAGACCAGCAAAGCCGCCCGAUGUGCCGACAAAUCCCGAUAGGAGCUGCACAAAUCUCGUUCUCAGGGCACACAGGAUAUCUCAGCCUAUGAGUAAAACCAGCCCUCGAGUUGCCCCCCGAGGUGGCCCCGCAGUCUGCCCGUUUCGGACCAACACUNNNNNNNNNNNNNNNNNNNNNNNNNNNNNNNNNNNNNNNNNNNNNNNNNNNNNNNNNNNNNNNNNNNNNNNNNNNNNNNNNNNNNNNNNNNNNNNNNNNNNNNUCGGGCUCCGGAAACCCAAGGGAAAAAGGGCUACGUGAGGCAAAUGGUAAAACUAAGGUUGGGCCUUGCUGGAGGAGUUUUAUUCAAAGCGAACUGUCAAGGGGGUCCCAUAAAUCACCCAACCGCGUAACGAAUGCAAAAUCCGGGAACAUAAGACCGGUAUGACGGAAACUAGGGCGGCAAGAGUGGAACAAAACACCAGGUAUAAGGCCGAGUCUUCCAACCUUUACCAAGUAAAUAGAUGUAUUAAUAAUAUAAGAGAUAUUGUGAUAUCCCAACAUAAUCCUGUCCACCAUGGGGCAAUCUUCAACUUCACCUGCAACUAACAACGCUACAGCAGGCUAUAAUUGCAACCAGGGGCAUGGAUGGAUAUAGCAUGACAUGUAUAACAAAACAUCCUUAGUGAACAUCUCCAGAUUAUGCAUAGAAUGACUUGUAGCAGCAGGUUUACAUAGCAUCACGAAAUAACAGAUUCAGCCUAGCAAAACAGCAAUAGCUAGUAGCCUACUUAACAAGCUUGAUGCACUCACUACACAACUCACAAAAAUACAUAGAUGGCACCACUGUAAAGAUUACAUGAUGUAGUUCGAAACACAUGUAGAGAUCAUGCUCAUAAGAUGCACACAUCAAAUGCAACGAAAAAGACAUCAUCAAGUUAUAACAGUCUCAGCAGAUUAACAUUAUAUAGCACUCUUGCAAUGAUGAUUCAGGCAUCAAGAUGGACUCAAAUGAACAUGAUGCAAUGGAAUGAAAUGAAGAGCAUCUCUCACUGAACAUUGUGAUAUAUCAUAUGCAUGAAACGGAGCUAGGGGUAUAGAGUUAUGAUGCAAUGAACAUGUCGUAAAAAUACUGCAGACUUAGGGGGAAAAACGAGGUCAACCUAGGGGUCCUCCGAUCUGGAUCUGAGCACGGAUCCCGAGGUCAAGACGGAGCUGCUCGCCGGAGUAGAAGAGGAGGUGGCCGGAGACGGGGCGCGUGGGGGCCGGGGAGGCGCGACCGGAGCGAGGGUAGGCCGACGGGCGAGGCGAGGCGCGGGGGCGGCGACGCCAUGGCCGGGGCGGCGGGACGACGGGGCCGGGCGGCNNNNNNNNNNNNNNNNNNNNNNNNNNNNNNNNNNNNNNNNNNNNNNNNNNNNNNNNNNNNNNNNNNNNNNNNNNNNNNNNNNNNNNNNNNNNNNNNNNNNNNNNNNNNNNNNNNNNNNNNNNNNNNNNNNNNNNNNNNNNNNNNNNNNNNNNNNNNNNNNNNNNNNNNNNNNNNNNNNNNNNNNNNNNNNNNNNNNNNNNNNNNNNNNNNNNNNNNNNNNNNNNNNNNNNNNNNNNNNNNNNNNNNNNNNNNNNNNNNNNNNNNNNNNNNNNNNNNNNNNNNNNNNNNNNNNNNNNNNNNNNNNNNNNNNNNNNNNNNNNNNNNNNNNNNNNNNNNNNNNNNNNNNNNNNNNNNNNNNNNNNNNNNNNNNNNNNNNNNNNNNNNNNNNNNNNNNNNNNNNNNNNNNNNNNNNNGGCCGGCGACAGGCCGCGCGGGGGCCACGUGGCGGGGAGCAUCUGGUUCGGGACGGACAUCUCCGGCGGACGAGAGGAGCGGGGCUAGGGUUUCGGGGGAAAAACAUCUGCGAAUUAAGGGGAAGGGCCUAUUUAUAGAUUCUGGGAGCUAGGAGAGUCCAAAUGAGGCACGGUUUUCGCCCACAUGAUCGUGAUCGAAUGACCAAGAGCAUGGAGGGCGUUUGGAUGGGCUCGUGGGCUGUGGUGAAGAAGGGCUGGGCUGCAGAGAGAGAGGGGUUUCAGGCUACCCGGUUAACCGUAGGAGUAUCAAACGACCUCCAAAUGGCAUGAAACUUGACAGGCGGUCUACCGGUGCUAUACCACGGCCGCUUGGAAAACCUCGGGACAUUCCGAGAAAGUUCAACACCCGCUCACAACAGGAGACAAAAGGGGAACGCCGGAGGACAUAUGAGUGCCGGAUUGCAAAACAGACAACGGGGAAAAUGCUCGGAUGCAAGAAACGAACAUGUACGCAAAAUGAAAUGCACAUGAUGACAUGAUAAAAUGCAACACGCAAUCAAAUGACAUGGCAAUGACGGCGAAUAACUGGAGGACACCUGACGCAUUGAAACCGGGGCGUUACAAAUACAAAUGCAACUACUCCAAUAUUCCUCAUAGAACAUCAUUAUUUUCAUUUAUUUUAGCUAUUAUUUCACUUUCUUUCUUCUUUAAUAGUAAUACAAAUGCCAUUAUUAUAUGCUUAUUAACAAAUAUUUAAAAGAAGCACAAUUUAUUGUCUAUUAUGUUCAAAUUUUGUCAUUGUUUUUAAUUUUUCUUUCUUAAAUAGAAAUAUCAAUGUCGCUAAUUAAUUCUUCCUUCGAGAACUCCAUUAUUUUGAUUUUCUUUUAGUUUUAAUUUAUUUUAUUUUUUCUUAAAGGGUAAUACCAAAGCCACUAACUCAUUUUUUUUCUUAGAUUCAUUAUUUUAAUUCAGUUUAAGCUUUAGUUUAAUUUAUUUUGAUUGAGUCUUAGCUUUAGUUUGAUUUUAUUUUAGUUUUAAUUUAUUUCAUCUUCGAGAACUAUGUGCAAUUUUUGACAUUGUUUAUUUUAGAUUAUUACUUAAUUCUCUUUAUUCUAAAGGGUAAUACAAAUGCCACUAAUUCAUUCCUUGUUAGAAGACUUCAUAUUUUGAUUUUGUUUGAGUCUAUAUUUCUUUUUUUUGUUCUUCUUUCAUUUCUUUCUUCGUAAUGGGUAAUACAAAUUCUAGUAAUUCAUUAUUCCUUACAAAAUAUUUUAAUUUUGAUUUUGUUUUAAUUUAUAUUUCAUUUUUUGUUCUUCUUUCAUUUCUUUCUUCGUUAACGGUAAUACAAAUGUCAGUAAGUUAUACUUCCUUAGAAAGUAUUCUUAUUUUGAUUUUGUUUUAGUUUAUAUUUCAUUUUAUUUCUUUUUUAAGGAUACUACCAAUUCCACUAAUUCACCCGUUCUUCGGAAAUUUCUUUUUGUGUAAAUUCCACUAUUAUAUGCUUAUUCUUGCAUAUUAUAAAAAUGAGCAAUUUUUGUGUAAAUUGUGUGCAAAUUUAUACAUUGUUUGUUUUAGAUUAUUAUUUUCCUUCAUAAAGGUUAAUAUAAAUGCCACUAAUUCAGUCUUCAUCGGAAAACAUAUAUUUUGAUUUGUUUUUUAUGUUUAUUUCAUUUUUUUCUUAAAGGGUAGUACCACUGUCACUUAUUCAUUUUUCUUUACAUUAUUUUGAUUUGUUUUAGUUUUUCCAUUUUCUUUCUUCUUUAAUGGUAAUACUGCCACUAAUUCCAUGCCUAUGCUUAUGCUUUUUUUAUUAAACGUUAAUGCUUACGACUUCUUGUCAUUGCACACUACGACCAGUGUUAAAAUAGUAGUUGUAAGAAAAUUGGUGAGUAGUUAGCUAAUAUUUGCACUGCGUGUGAUGUGCUCUUUUCUCACUUUUAUAUGAGCUACAUCUAUGGGGAUGUGUUGCAUUUUUCCUUAGAUAUUUUUAUUUUGAUUUUGUUUUAAUUUAUAUUUUGCUUUUUAUUCUUCUUUCAUUUCUUUGUUCGUCAAGGGUAAUACACCAGUAAUUCAUUCUUCCAUAGAAAAAAUAUUAUUUUGAUUUUGUUUUAGUUUAUAUCUCAUUUUCUUUCACUUUCAAGGGUAAUACCAAUUUCACUAAUUCGCCCUUUCUUUGGAAACUUUUUUGUGCGUAAAUUCCACUAUUAUAUGCUUAUUCUUGCAUAUUAAAAAAUGCGCAAUUUUUGUGUCAAUUAUGUGCAAGUUUAUAUAUUGUUUGUUUUAGAUUAUUAUUAAAGGGUAAUAUAAGUGCCACUAAUUCAUUCUUCGUCGGAAAACAUCAGAUUUUGAUUUUGUUUUGGUGCUUAUUUCAUUUUUUAAAAGGGUGGUACCAGUUUCACUUAUUCAUCCUUCUUUAUGGAACUUUAUUAUUUUGAUUUGUUUUAAUUUCUUCAUUUUCUUGAUUUUUUAAUGGUGAUGCUUAUGCUUUUUUUAUUAAUUGUUGAUGCUUACGACUUUUGUCAGUGCACACUACGACCAGUGUUAAAAUAAUAGUUGUAAGCAAAUUGGUGAGUAGUUGGCUAAUAUUUUUCAUUGCGUGUGAUGUGCUCUUUAUCUCUCUUUUAUAUGAGCUACAUCUAUGGGGAUGUGUUGCAUUUUGCCUCCACAUAUGCGUACAUACAUACAGACAUACAAAUGUGGAUCGAGUGUAUAUAUAUGCAGUUUUAUACGGAACAGCCAUCCGCGUAUGCAUCCGCGUCGAUACACGUUAAUUUUGGUUUGCAUGAAUCCUAAAGGAAUCUGUUAGAUUUUUAGUGCCACAUGGGCAUCAUCGUGUGUGGGUAUUGGAGAGUUCGCCCACAUGACCCGCAACACACGGUUGCCAGCUGUGCCGUGUGGGCGAACCGGUUUCUGUCCACACAGUCACCACCAAGUCCACGCGUGUGUGGACGAACUGCUCUUCAGCCACACGACGCCCGUACGUUGUUAGAUGGAAACUACAGUUACGCUUACAUGGUAACUAGGUAAACACACAUGGAGACAAGCUUACUUUGAUCAAAUCAGUAUUUGCACAUCUUCCUAUUUUCUUCAUGUGCACACUUGAUCUUCCAAAGGGCAUCCUUGAUAAAAUAAACAAAGCUUUAAAGCAUUGCUUCUGGAGGAAAUUUUGCAUGGAGGAUAGAGGUAGUGCACUAAUAGCCUAGGACAAAGUUUGUCUGCCUAUGGAUCAGGGCGGAUUGGGAGUUCUCAACAUUGAAAUUCAUAAUAAAUGUCUCCUAAUGAAACAUCCGCAUAAGUUUCUCCAUAAAGAAAAUCUUCCUUGGGAACAUCUUAUUUGGGACUCUUACUAACCUGAUGGAGUGAUCACCAAUAGGAAUGUUGGUUCAUUCUGGUGGAAAAGCAUCUUCAAACUGCUACCUAUUUUUAAAAUAGUAGCCCAAGGGAAGUUGGGAACUGGCAACACUAUUAAUUUUUGGAUGGACAACUGGGGUCAUGGCAUCACAAGAAAUAAAUUCCCAGAACUCUAUUCCUUUGCCACCAAGGACACUGCGAGCAUUCAGGAGUUUUCACAUGCACAAGAUAUAAGUGAAAACUUCUACCUCCCCCUCUCAGCCCAAGCACAUAAUCAGUUCAUAGACCUUCAGGGCACUCUUGAUUCACUGCAACUUACUAAUCAGGGUGAUCGAUGGAUAUACCCUUGGGGUACACAUUAUUCGUCUAUCAAGAUGUACAAACAAAUCACAAUGGGUCAACAAGCUGCACCAAUUUUCAAACAACUCUGGAAGAAUGCAACCAUGCUUCGAUACAAGAUCUUUUUCUGGCUCUUACUGCAUGACAGGGUCAAUACUAGGAACAUGCUUCAAAGAAGAUCAUUUCACCUACCUUCAUAUAAUUGUGCACUUUGUCAAAUGAGUACAGAGGAAACAUCUCAACAUCUAUUUUGGGAUUGUGACUUUGCUUUUUCUUGUUGGCAAUCCCUUUUGGGUCCCAGAGACGGAGGGUUCUCCAUCUUUGAUGAAGUCUCAUUUGCCAUUCAGACCUUGCCUGCUGCUUUUGCUAUGGAAAUCAUGAUUAUGGGGUGUUGGAAUAUCUGGAUGCAAAGAAAUGACAAAAUAUUCAAAGCAAAACAAGCUACAAUUCAAGCUUGGAAGGCCUCACUCAAGUCAGACCUCAAGCUACUGUUGCACAGAAUAAAGACUAAAUUUAGAGACCGGUUUUCCAGUUGGAUUGAGCAACAUUUAACUACUUGAUAAUGCUAGCCUGAGGGUUCAACAAAACAGGAGUGGGUUGAGCCUUUCUUUGGGUAGUCUUGUAUAUAUUGUAAACUAUUUAUUUUAAUGAAAUUUCCGUAGAACGAUUGUUCUAUGAUUUCGGUUCAAAAAAAAAGGUAAACACACAGGGCAUGAUUCGUUGCUAGAUGGCAACUGCAGUUGUGCGUACGUGGCAACUAAAUAAAAACACAUGGCAACUAUGAUUAACCAUACAUGGCAACUAUGGUUGGACCACACAUGGCAAGUAGUUAAUCAUACAUGCAACUAUUGUUUGAGCACGUAGGGCAAGUAACUUAUCACACAUGGAAACUAUAGUUCGAAUACACGUGGCAACUACCGUUACUUAGACAUGGAAACUACAUUUUGCCAUCCGGGGUGACUAAAGUUGCCAUCCCCCGGGUAACUAAAGUGUCAUCCAACGGGUACGCCAUGAGCUGUGGGAAGAUUUGCUUCGUGCCACACUCACGGGGUGAGGAUGAAUAGUAGUUUGUUGGGCGUGUGGCACGAAGUAGCUGCACCCACACGUGUGGGUAGUUCUAAUUCCGCACACACAUGGUCCGUGUAGGCUGGCUCCUGCUUACGCCACACACGUCGUGUGGGCGUAUGUCUAAUAUGCCACAUGUGUGGGCAUUAUCAGCGUCCAUUGUUUAAUAACAAUCAUGAGGCACUACUCUUCUCUUCUUUAUUUUCGUCCAUUGCCUUCAUGUCUCCACCUCCCGAAUUCAAACUCAUCAUCUCUGUCAAUGGUGCAUCUGGCUCACAAUCCUCCUCCAUCCACGCCCUUUCAAUCUAAUCACGUCUCCAUAUUACCAAAUGAUCAUAUGCAUUAUAUGUGCCACCACAACAGAGAAAAAUAAUGUCAUGGAAUCCGAUCAAACCAGUCACAUGACAAACCAAGUUCCAAACUUCCAAUAGUUUUAAGUUAACUGCAUAAUCGAAUCUUUAUUUGCGUUAUCCAUUUCUUUAAUCAUGUCAGAAUAAUUGAUUUGAUCUUACUUUUUUUGAACAAAGUACAGACUUGACGCUCAUAUGUACGCACAAAUGCUCACCCCUGUGGACACACGCAUGCACACCUACCUCUAUGAGCACCUCCGAGAGACUGAGCCGAGAAAUCAUUUUGAGAUUGACGAAGUCGUCACAGGCUCUUUCGUAGUUGACGGAAACGUCUCCUCCCACUAAACGCGCAUCGCCAAAAGGCCUGAUAUAAAUCCAGGAAAUGGCGAGUACCAGGGUCAAGUCUAGGACUUGAACCCUGGUUGGCUGGGAUACCAUUUCCGUCCUAACCUUCUAACUGCAGGUUGGUUUGCAUUUUGCCUAACUUUGUUUAGUAGACUCUAUUAUUUUGAAGAGAAAAAAAUAUUUGUACACUAUGAUGGCAUGCUUUAAGAAAGUUUAAGAGAUAUUACCAAAAUCAUGUAAUGAAUGUAGAUUCGUUCCCGUGAUCAAAAAGUAGUAACAUAUAAAGUAUGACAGAGUCAGCAAAGUUAUACAUGGUGUUGACAUAAGCAUUAGUUGUCUGUAACUCCAUUAUGAAAGCAGCCACAUAAUCCAAUGUUUGUGAGGAUGGCACAAUAUUGUCAUGUUUGUUAUGGGUGAAGAUCUUGGCUUGAGCUUUCUUCUCAUUUUUACAUGUUAUUUGUACAUUUGUUCCACAAUUUACUGGGAAGACAACAUAAAAAUAAAGUAUGACAGAGUUAGCAAAGUUAUACAUGGUGUUGACAUGAGCAUUAGUCGUCCAUAAUUCAAUUAUGACGACAGCCAUAGAAUCCAAUAUUUGUGAGGAUGGCACAAUAUUGUCAAGUUUCUUACUAGUGAAGAUCUUGGCUUGAGCUUUCUUCUCAUUUUUACAUGUUAUUUGCACAUUUGUUCGAUAAUCUACUAGCAAGACAACAAAAAAGCCACAUUACAUCAUCAGUACACUUUGAUGGUUAUCCAAAAAUACAAUGGUAGUCUCAAAUUGCGUCGGUUUUCUCAGCACUCAACAGAUCUACAUAGGGAUCCAUUGUUGUGCCAAACAACAACAAAGCACUACUGAAUGAUCUCAUCUGCACAACAAAUAACAAAUAGCAAAACCAACAACCGUGCAGCAUAACAUAUCACUUCUCACAUCUCUUCUCACUAGGAUCAAUCUCUUGCACUACCUAAACAUCCGUUCCCCACUCCAACCCCGCCCACUAUCCCAUGGUCCCCGCCGCCCCCUAUUUGCAAAGGAGUCAAGGACACCAGCAUCAAUGUCACAAUGUGCAGCAGCGCGGUGACCUGCCUCGGCAUCCUUGUACAAGGAGCAGGCGGCCCUUAACCCCGUUGAGGUAGGUUUCCUAUCGAGGGCCGCGAGCUAGGAUACAGUCGUACAGAGGGAAAGAUUGGGACGUCAUCUUCGUUCAGCUCUGCCAGUGGCAGCACAAAGGAGGGGCGACGACCUCGUCUAGGGCACAACUUGGAGGCGGGGCGGCUCGAUUGCUCGUCUCUGCUCGGCUGCUCGCUCACCAUGUCGUGUCUCCCAAUUCCAUCACUCCCAAGAGAGGAAGGAGAGCCUCACCGAUGUCCACCGGGCGGAGGGACUUGCUGGGGAGGCGGGGGACGGGCGGCCGCGGCGGCGGCUUGAAGAGAGAAGAGAUGGCGGUUGAGCUUGGGACGAGGAUGUAUUUCCCAUGGCGAAGAUGGGAGCGAGGGUGUCAAAUCAGAUCAGAUCAGGGACUGCAUCCCGAUAAUUACGGACACGGUGUGCAUGGGGAAAAAGGGGUCGACGCCGGGCGAGAGAUGAAUGAAACACUGGACUCGUGCAUGCCUUUUAUCUCGGGCCUUUCUGGGUCUGCGCACGCUGGACAACUGAACGAGCAUGACGAGCAAAAGUUGGACGAAGAUCGUCAUCACGAGCGACGUAAGACGGAAAACGAAAUGUUUUGUUUCUUUUAGGUAGUAGAGAUGUCAAAAUUGUUGGGGAACAAAGUAAAUUCAAAAAACAUCCUACGAUCACGCAAGAUCUAUCUCUAGGUGAUGCAUAGCAAUGAGAGGAGAGAGUGUUAUCUACGUACCCUCGUAGACCAAAAGCGGAAGCGUUAUGACAACGCGGUUGAUGUAGUCAUACGUCUUCACGAUCCGACCGAUCCUAGCACCGAAGGUACGGCACCUCCGUGAUCUGCACACGUUCAGCUCGGUGACAUCACACGAACUCUAGAUCCAGCUGAGGUCAAGGGAGAGUUUCGUCAGCACAACGGCGUGCUGACCGUGAUGAUGAAAUUACCGGAGCAGGGCUUCGCCUAAGCACUACGACGAUAUGACCGAGGUGUGUAACUGUGGAGGGGGAACCGCACAUGGAUAAAACAAUUGUCAACUUGUGUGUUCUAGGGUGCCCCCUGCCCCCGUAUAUAAAGGAGCAAGGGGCAGGCCGGCCGGCCCUCCUAGGGCGCGCCCCAAUUGGGGAAUCCUACUAUGACUCCAAGUCGUAGUAGGUUUCCACCUAAAGGGAGAGAGGGGGAAGGAAGGAGAGGGAGAGGGGGAAGGAAAGGGGGGCGCCCCCCCCCCUUCCUUGUCCUAUUGGGACUCAAGGGGACGGGGUGCGCGGCCUGCCCUGGCCGGCCCUUCUUUCUCUCCACUAGGGCCCAUCGAGGCCCAUUAGUUCCCCGAGGGGUUCCGGUAACCCUCCGGCACUCCGGCUUUAUUCGAAACUUCUUCGGAACACUUCCGUUGUCCGAAUAUAGUCGUACAAUAUAUCAAUCUUUGUGUCUCGACCAUUUUGAGACUCCUCGUCAUGUCCGUGAUCAUAUCCGGGACUCCGAACAAUCGUCGGUACAACAUAUCACAUAAACUCAUAAUAAUAAUCGUCAUCGAAUGUUAAGCGUGCGGACCCUACGGGUUUGAGAACUAUGUAGACAUGACCAAGACACGUCUCCAAUCAAUAACCAAUAACAGAACCUACAUGCUCAUAUUGGUUCCUACAGAUUCUACGAAGAUCUUUAUCGGUCAAACUGCAUAACAACAUACGUUGUUCCUUUGUCAUCGGUAUGUUACUUGCCCGAGAUUUGAUCUCUGGUAUCUCAAUACCUAGUUCAAUAUUGUUACCGGGAAGUCUAUUUUCUCGUUUCGUAAUACUUCAUCCCGCAACUAACUCAUUAAUCACAAUGCUUGCAAGGCUUAUAGUGAUGAGUAUUACCGAGAGGGCCCAGAGAUACCUCUCUAAAACACAGAGUGACAAAUCCUAAUCUUGAUCUAUGGCAACCCAACAAACACCUUCAGAGACACCUGUAGAGCACCUUUAUAAUCACCCAUUUAUGUUGUGAUGUUUGGUAGCACACAAAGUGUUCCUCCGGUAUUCGGAAGUUGCAUAAUCUCAUAGUCUGAGGAAGUUGUAUAAGUCAUGAACAAAGCAGUAGCAAUGAAACUGACACGAUCAUAAUGCUAAGCUAAUGGAUGGGUCAUGCCCAUCACAUCAUUCUCCUAAUGAUGUGAUCCAGUUUAUCAAAUGACAACACAUGUCUAUGGUUAGGAAACAUAACCAUCUUUGAUUAAUGAGCUAGUCAAGUAGAGGCAUACUAGGGACUAUAUGUUUUGUCUAUAUAUUGACACAUGUACUAAGUUUCCGUUUAAUACAAUUCUAUCAUGAAUAAUAAACAUUUAUCAUGAACUAAGGAAAUAAAUAAUAACUUUAUUAUUUCCUCUAGGGCAUAGUCUCCCACUUGCACUAGAGUCAAUAAUCUAGAUUACAUAGUAAUGAUUCUAACACCCAUGGAGCUUUGGUGAUGAUCGUGUUUUGCUCGUGGAAGAGGCUUAGUGAAAGGGUCUGCAACAUUCAGAUCCGCGUAUAUCUUGCAAAUUUCUAUGUCCCCUUCCGACACUUGAUGACGGAUGGAAUUGAAGAGUCUCUUGAUGUGCUUGUUUCUCUUGUGAAAUCUAGAUUCCUUUGCCAAGGCAGUUGCACCAGUAUUGUCACAAAAGAUUUUCAUUGGACCUGAUGCACUAGGUAUGACACCUAGAUUAGAUAUGAACUCCUUCGUCCAAACUCCUUCAUUUGCUGCUUCUGAAGCAGCAAUGUACUCCGCUUCACAUGUAGAUCCCGUCACGAUGCUUUGCUUGGAACUGCACCAACUGACAGAUCCUCCAUUCAAUAAAAAUACAUAUCUGGUUUAUGACUUAGAAUCAUCCGGAUUAGUGUCAAAGCUUGCAUCGACAUAACCAUUUACGAUGAGCUCUUUUUCACCACCAUAAACGAGAAACAUAUCCUUAGUCCUUUUCAGGUAUUUUAGGAUGUUCUUGACUGCUGUCCAGUGCUCCACUCCGGGAUUACUUUGGUACCUCCCUGCUAUGCUUAUAGCAAGACAUAAAUCAGGUCUGGUACACAACAUUGCAUACAUGAUAGAACCUAUGGCUGAAGCAUAGGGAAUGAGUUUCAUUUUCUCUCUAUCUUCUGCAGUGGUUGGGCAUUGAGUCUGACUCAACUUUUUUUUGAGUCUGGCUCAACUUCACACUUUGUAACACAGGCAAGAACCCUUUCUUCGACUGAUCCAUUUUGAACUUCUUCAAAACUUUAUCAAGGUAUGUGCUUUGUGAAAGUCCAAUUAAGCGUCUUGAUCUAUCUCUAUAGAUCUUGAUGCCCAAUAUGUAAGCAGCUUCUCCGAGGUAUUUCAUAGAAAAACUCUUAUUUAGGUAUUCCUUUAUGCUAUCCAGAAAUUCUAUAUCAUUUCCAGUCAACAAUAUGUCAUCUACAUAUAAGAUCAGAAAUGCUAUAGAGCUGCCACUCACUUUCUUGUAAAUACAGGCUUCUCCAAAAUUCUGUAUAAAACCGUAUGCUUUGAUCACACUAUCAAAGCGUUUAUUCCAACUCCGAGAGGAUUGCACCAGUCCAUAAAUGGAUCGCUGGAGCUUGCACACUUUGUUAGCACCCUUUGGAUCGACAAAACCUUCUGGCUGCAUCAUAUACAACUCUUCUUCCAGAAAUCCAACAUCCAUUUGCCAAAUUUCAUAAUCAUAAAAUGCAGCAAUUGCUAACAUUAUUCGGACAGACUGAAGCAUCACUACGGGUGAGAAAGUCUCAUCAUAGUCAACUACUUGAACUUGUCGAAAACCUUUCGCAACAAGUCGAGCUUUGUAAAUGGUAACAUUACCGUCUGCGUCGGUCUUCUUCUUAAAGAUCCAUUUAUUUUCUAUGGCUUGCUGAUCAAGUCCACCAAAGUCCACACUUUGUUCUCAUACAUGGAUCCCAUCUCAGAUUUCAUGGCCUCAAGCCAUUUCGCGGAAUAUGGGCUCAUCAUCGCUUCUUCAUAGUUCGUAGGUUCAUCAUGGUCUAGUAAGAUGACUUCCAAAACAGGAUUACCGUACCACUCUGGUGCGGAUCUUACUCUGGAAGACCUAGUUUUGGUAGUAACUUGAUCUGAAGCUUCAUGAUCAUCAUCAUUAGCUUCCUCACUAAUUGGUGUAGGAAUCACGGGAACUAAUUUCUGUGAUGAACUACUUUCCAAUAAGGGAGAAGGUACAGUUACCUCAUCAAGUUCUACUUUCCUCCCACUCACUUCUUUCGAGAGAUACUCCUUCCCUAGAAAGUAUCCAUUCUUAGCAACAAAGAUUUUACCUUCGGAUCUGUGAUAGAAGGUGUACCCAACAGUUUCCUUUCGGUAUCCUAUGAAGACGUACUUCUCCGAUUUGGGUUCGAGCUUAUCAGGUCGAAGCUUUUUCACAUAAGCAUCGCAGACCCAAACUUUAAGAAACGAUAACUUUGGUUUCUUGCCAAACCACAGUUCAUAAGGCGUUGUCUCAAUGGAUUUUGAUGGUGCCAUAUUGAAAGUGAAUGCAGCCGUUUCUAGAGCAUAACCCCAAAACAAUAGCGGUAAAUCAGUAAGUGACAUCAUAGAUUGCACCAUAUCCAAUAAAGUACGGUUAUGACGUUCGGACACACCAUUUUGCUGUGGUGUUUCACGUGGCAUUAAUUGUGAAACUAUCCAUGUUGUUUCAAAUGAAGACCAAACUCGUAACUCAAAUAUUCUCCUCCACGAUCAGAUCGUAGAAACUUUAUUUUCUUGUUACGAUGAUUUUCCACUUCACUGAAGUUCUUUGAACUUUUCAAAUGUUUCAAACUUAUGCUUCAUUAAGUAGAUAUAACCAUAUCUGCUCAAAUCAUUUGUGAAGGCAAGAAAAUAACGAUACCCAGCACGAGCAUCAAUACUCAUUGGACCGCAUACAUCGGUAUGUAUUAUUUCCAACAAGUUAGUAGCUUGUUCCAUUGUUCCGGGGAACGGAGUUUUAGUCAUCUUUCCCAUAAGGCACGGUUCGCAAGCACCAAGUGAUUCAUAAUCAAGUGAUUCCAAAAGUCCAUCAGCAUGGAGUUUCUUCAUGCGCUUUACACCGAUAUGACCCAAACGGCAGUGCCAUAAAUAAGUUGCACUAUCAUUAUUAAACUUAUAUCUUUUGGCUUCAAUACUAUGAAUAUGUGUAUCACUACUAUCAAGAUUUAACAAAAAUAGACCACUCAGCAGGGGUGCAUGACCAUAAAAGAUAUUACUCAUAUAAAUAGAACAACCAUUAUUCUUUGAUAUAAAUGAACAACAGUCUGGCAUUAAACAAGAUCCUGAUAUAAUGUUCAUGCUUAACACUGGCACCAAAUAACAAUUAUUCAGGUCUAAAACUAAUCCCGAUGGUAGAUGUAGAGGUAGCAUGCCGACCGCGAUCACAUCGACUUUGGAACCAUUUCCCACGCGCAUCGUCACCUCGUCCUUAGCAAAUCUUCGCUUAAUCCAUAGCCCCUGUUUCGAGUUGCAAAUAUGAGCAACAGAACCAGUAUCAAAUACCCAGGCGCUACUGCGAGCAUUAGUUAAGUACACAUCAAUAACAUGUAUAUCAAAUAUACCUUUCACUUUGCCAUCCUUUUUAUCUGCCAAAUACUUGGGGCAGUUCCGCUUCCAGUGACCAGUCUCUUUGCAGUAGAAGCACUUAGUUUCAGGCUUAGGUCUAGACUUAGUAUUCUUCUCUUGAGCAGCAACCUUUUUGUCGUUCUUCUUGAAGUUCCCCUUCUUCCCUUUGCCCUUUUUCUUGAAACUAGUGGUCUUAUUGACCAUCAACACUUGAUGCUCCUUUUUUGAUUUCUACCUCCGCGGCCUUUAGCAUCGCGAAGAGCUCGGGAAUAGUCUUGUUCGUCCCUUGCAUAUUAUUGUUCAUCACAAAGCCUUUAUAGCUUGGUGGUAGUGAUUGAAGAACUUUGUCAAUGACACAAUCAACUGGAAGAUCAACUCCCAGCUGAGUCAAGUGAUUAUGAUACCCAGACAUUUUGAGUAUGUGUUCACUGACAGAACUAUUCUCCUCCAUUUUGCAGCUGCAGAACUUGUUGGAGACUUCAUAUCUCUCAACUCAGGCAUUUGCUUGAAAUAUUAACUUAAACUUUUGGAACAUCUCAUAUGCUCCAUGACAUUCAAAACGUCUUUGAAGUUCCGAUUCUAAGGCAUACAACAUGGCACACUGAACUAUCGAGUAGUCAUUGCUCUGCCAGACGUUCUUAACGUCAUCAGUAGCAUCUGUAGCAGGCCUGGCACCUAGCGGUGCUUCCAGGACGUAAUUCUUCUGUGCAGCAAUGAGGAUAAUCCUCAAGUUAAGGACCCAAUCCGUGUAGUUGCUGCCAUCAUCUUUCAAGUUAGCUUUCUCUAGGAACGCAUUAAAAUUCAAAGGAACGGUAGCACGGGCCAUUGAUCUACAACAACAUAGACAUGUGAAAUACUAUCAGGUACUAAGUUUAUGACAAAUUAAAGUUCAAUUAAUCAUAUUAUUUAAGAACUCCCACUUAGAUAGACAUCCCUCUAAUAAUCUAAGUGAUCACGUGAUCCAAAUCAACUAAAACAUGUCCGAUCAUCAUGUGAGAUGGAGUAGUUCUCAAUGGUGAACAUCACUAUGUUGAUCAUAUCUACUAUAUGAUUCACGCUCGACCUUUCGGUUUUAGUGUUCCGAGGCCAUGUCUACAUAUGCUAGGCUCGUCAAGUUCAACCCAAGUAUUCUGCCUGUGCAAAACUGGCUUGCACCUGUUGUAUGUUAACAUAGAGCUUAUCACACCCGAUCAUCACGUGGUGUCUCGGCACGACGAACUGUAGCAAUGAUGCAUACUCAAGGAGAACACUUGUACCUUGAAAUUUAGUAAGGGAUCAUCUUAUAAUGCUACCGACGUUCUAAGCAAAAUAAGAUGCAUAAAGGAUAAACAUCACAUGCAAUCAUAAUAUGUAACAUGAUAUGGCCAUCAUCAUCUUGUGCUCAUGAUCUCCAUCACCGAAGCAUCGUCAUGAUCUCCAACUUCACUGGCGCGACACCUUGAUCUCCAUCGUAGCAUUGUUGUCGUCUCGCCAACUAUGGUUACUACGACUAUCGCUACCGCUUAGUGCUAAAGUAAAACAAUUAUAUGGCGAUUGCGUUGCAUACAAUAAAGCGACAACCAUAUGGCUCCUGCUAGUUGCCGAUAACUUUGUUACAAAAACAUGAUCAUCUCAUACAACAAUUUAUAUCACAUCAUGCUUGACCAUACCAUAUCACAUUAAGGCCUGCAAAAACAAGUUAGACGUCCUCUAAUUUGUUGUUGCAAUUUUAACGUGGCUGCUAUGGGCUUCUACCAAGAACUGUUCUUACCUACGCAUCAAAACCACAAUGAUUUUUCGUCAAGUGUGCUAUUUUAACCUUCAACAAGGACCGGGCGUAGCCACACUCGUUCAACUAAAGUUGGAGAAACAGACACUCACCAGCCACCUAUGUGUGAAGCACAUCGGUAGAACUAGUCUCGCGUAAGCGUCGUGUAAUGUCGGUCUGCGCCGCUUCAUCCAACAAUACCGCCGAAUCAAAGUAUGACAUGCUGGUAAGCAGUAUGGCUAUUAUCACCCACAACUCACUUGUGUUGUACUCGUGCAUAUAACAUCUACACAAAAACCUGGCUCUGAUGCCACCGUUGGGGAACGGAGUAAAUUCAAAAAAAUCCUACGAUCACGCAAGAUCUAUCUCUAGGUGAUGCAUAGCAACGAGAGGAGAGAGUAUUAUCUACGUACCCUCGUAGACCGAAAGCGGAAGCGUUAUGACAACGCGGUUGAUGUAGUCGUACAUCUUCACGAUCCGACCGAUCCUAGCACUGAAGGUACGGCACCUCCGCGAUCUGCACACGUUAAGCUCGGUGACGUUCCAUGAACUCUAGAUCAUGCUGAGGUCGAGGGAGAUUUUCGUCAGCACAAUGGCAUGGUGACGGUGAUGAUGAAGUUACCGGCGCAGGGCUUCGCCUAAGCACUACGACGAUAUGACCGAGGUGUGUAACUGUGGAGGGGGCACCGCACACGGCUAAAACAAUUGUCAACUUGUGUGUUCUAGGGUGCCCCCUGCCCCUGUAUGCAAAGGAGCAAGGGGAGGCCGGCCAGCCCUGCUAGAGCGCGCCCCAAUAGGGGAAUCCUACUAGGACUCCAAGUCUUAGUAGGAUCCACCUAAAGGGAGAGAGGGGGGAGAAAGGAGAGGGACAGGGCGAAGGAAAGGCCCCCCCUUCCUUGUCCUAUUCGGACUCAAGGAGUGGGGGCACGCGGCAUGCCCUGGCCGGCCCUUCUCUCUCCACUAGGGCCCAUCGAGGCCCAUUAGUUCCCCAGGGGGUUCCGGUAACCCUCCCGCACUCUGUUUUUUUUUGAAACUUCUCCGGAACACUUCCGGUGUCCGAAUAUAGUCAUCCAAUAUAUCAAUAUUUAUGUCUCGACCAUUUCGAGACUUCUCGUCAUGUCCGUGAUCAUAUCCGGGACUCCGAACAAUUGUCGGUACAUCAUAUCACAUAAACUCAUAAUACCAAUCAUCAUCGAACGUUAAGCAUGCGAACCCUGCGGAUUCGAGAAAUAUGUAGACAUGAUCGAGACACGUCUCAGGUCAAUAACCAAUAGCGGAACCUGGAUGCUCAUAUUGGUUCCUACAUAUUCUACGAAGAUCUUUACCGGUCAAACUGCAUAACAACAUACGUUGUUCCCUUUGUCAUCGGUAUGUUACUUGUCCGAGAUUCGAUCGUCGGUAUCUCAAUACCUAGUUCAAUCUCGUUACUGGCAAGUCUCUUUUCUCGUUCCAUAAUACUUCAUCCCGCAACUAACUCAUUAAUCACAAUGCUUGCAAGGCUUAUACUGAUGAGCAUUACCGAGUGGGCCCAGAGAUACCUCUCCGAAACACGGAGUGACAAAUCCUAAUCUCGAUCUAUGCCAACCCAACAAACACCUUCGGAGACACCUGUAGAGCACCUUUAUAUUCACCCCUUUACCUUGUGACGUUUGGUAGCGCACAAAGUGUUCCUCCGGUAUUCGGGAGUUGCAUAAUCUCAUAGUCCGAGGAACUUUUAUAAGUCAUGAAGACGCAGUAGCAAUGAAACUAACACGAUCAUAACGCUAAGCUAAUGGAUGGAUCAUGUCCAUCACAUCAUUCUCCUAAUGAUGUGAUCCCAUUUAUCAAAUGACAACACAUGUCUAUGGUUAGGAAACAUAACCAUCUUUGAUUAACGAGCUAGUCAAGUAGAAGCAUACUAGGGACUAUAUAUUUUGUCUAUGUAUUCACACAUGUACUAAGUUUCCGGUUAAUACAAUUCUAGCAUGAAUAAUAAACAUUUAUUAUGAAUUAAGGAAACAAAUAAUAACUUUAUUAUUGCCUGUAGGGCAUAUUUCUUUCGAAAAUAUGACUGAUUAUAGAGUAUCUACAACCGAACGCCUCAAACCCGUCUCAAACGUCCGGGGCGGACGGCCCGACCAUUGACCGGUCACGGAAAUUUGACCCUGAGGACGUUUCAAAUGGGCCUCAAACGCCCGGGCUGACCGGCACCCCUCAUAUCCAGCCCAAAUAUAUGGCAGAUAUGAGGCGCCCGGGCGCGUCCGCCACGUCGGAGCCGACCCAUGAUGGCCCACUCGACCCCACAUAUAGUUCUUCUGAUCGGCUUGCUGGUCCAAACCCUAACCACUUCACUCCACUCCUCUCCGCCACUCAAACUCACCUUCGGCGAUCUCUAGCAUGGCGGACAGCGGAUCCGAGUCCUUCAUCUCCAGAUCCAUCGACCCUGAGCUCACCCCACGCAGCCCCGAGGAGGAGAUGGCCGUCCAGCUUGCGCUUCGCUGCUCCCGGGAGGAGGCCCGUGUGAGGCAGCGUGCGGACUCCUUCCGUCCAAAAUCCAUUACAGCCACCCAAAUGGCACAUGGAUCCGGCUCUAGGUGUGUCAUCGCUAUCUCACCGGAGGCGGUGCGGUCCGACUGGAGCCCAAACGCGAUGGCCAACGCGCAAUCCCCCCGUUGGCACGCGGAGCAGCAAGACACACCAUGGGCGUCGUCUGAUGCAAACAUGGUACGGCGUGCCGGACGUGCGAGGCAGUGGGUGCGGGAGACGGCGGCAACCCUCGCGGCGGUGGAUGUCGGCGAGCCAGCGGGCCUGGAGGCGGCGGUGGACGUUAGCGAGGCCGAGUCGCACUCCGGCGCCCCUUAUGAUGCACCAGUCCAGGUGCCGCAACUGCGUCAGGAUGGAUGUCGCCUGCUAAUCUUAGGACGGAUCCACCAUCGAUCUGACGUCCCCCAGUACCGUCUGAAUUUCGGGCUCUGACAUGAAAGAGUAGGGUAUGGAAGACGGCGGCGUCUUGAGUCUCGUGAGCUCGACGACGGUGAGUUUUGCAUCGCGUGGACCAUCGGGAUCAGCGAGGACAACUCGAGCAUACGGCAGCGGGCCAUCUUCCUGAUGGGCGUCAAGUUCGGCAGGACCUCCCCGUCGGCUCCCCUCCGCCUACUCCACCACAAGGCCUGUGUCUACGAGUUGCCACACCGUGUUCUCAUGGGCUAGGCUCUUCGUGCUGAUUGAUUUACAUGAAGAUAUUUUUGGUACCAACAAAUCUUCUAUCAUUUCCUCUUCACCGUGAUUUAUAAAGUAGCCAACUGUGCAUACGUGAAGAUACUUAAUGAAGCAACUCUAGAAUAUUUCCAAAAUAACACCUUAAAUUUUCAAUAUAUUCAUCUUCAAUCAUGGCGGUACAAAACAAUAAAGAUAAUAAAAAUUACAGCCAUGUUUGUGGACCACCUAGCGACGACUACAAGCACUGGAGUGAGUCAAAGGCACACCGCGCACCGUCAUCGCCCCUCCCUCACUGGAGUCGGGCAAACCUUGUUGCAAUAGACAGUCAAGAAGUCGUCGUGAUACGGACCCAUAGAACAAGAACACCAAAGUAGGAACCAUCACCGUUGAAGAAAGUCAUAAAUCAGAGGGAUCAAACCUGUAAACACUCAAACGAAGACGAACGAAGACCGGAUCCAAACAGAUCCACUCAAGACUAUCACCGAACGAAUCCUGCGAGAUCCGACGGAGACAAACCUCCAUACGCCGUCCGAUGAUGCUAGACGCAUCAUCCGGACGGGGAUAGAUUGUGGGAGACAUUAUUCCUACUAAGGGAUAUCGCCGCCACCACACAGCCUCAACCAAGACGCUGAAUCUAACAAGAAAGUGGACAAGGUCCCUCCCGCCGGCGGGGGUGCUAGAUCAUCCGCACCUCCAUGGCCUAGAGGUUCUAUUUUCUACACUCUUUUAAAAGAUCCAGUUGAUGAUGAUGGUUUGUCUAUCAUCCGUCAUUUUUUACCAUCUGAUCUACAUCUAAUCCAUGCUAGGUAAGCUGGCAUUUUUUUUUUUUGCAAAAUGACCCCUACCACUCUGAUCUACAUGUGCAGAAAAUCCCUUUGUCUCUCCAGACCAUGCCCGUCUGAUCCAAUCCAAACAUAUAUGAGGCAUAAAUUUUGGGUAAACCCAACAUAAUUUUAGUGAUAUAUUUACCAAAAAAUGAAGGGAAGCAUUGGCGCAGCGGUAAAGCUGUUGCCUGUGACCAUGAGGUCACUGGUUCGAGUCCUGAAAAUAGUCACUUGCAGAAAUGUAAGAAAAGGCUACGUACAACAGAUCAAAAAUGGUUGGACUUAUCCUCGAACCAUGUGCAAGAGGGAACUAUGUGAAUCAGGCCGCCCCUUUUUACAUAUACCAAAAAAUAGAGUGCUUGUGUAUUAGUCUAUUUUGUGUGGGUUGCAAUGCAUGGGCACUUUACUAGCCUGUAGAAAAAAUGUCACUUCAAAAAUUUCGGAGAAAAAAUGUCACUUUACUAGCCGGUGACACAAAUCACUGCCGGAAUAGAGCAGCGGGCCACCCCGCGGUAGCCCGAAGGAGCCCGAGCAGCUCCACCACACAAAGCCCGCAACGCCAGCACGAGCCUAGCCACCUUAGCAACCCCCACACGGAGUCGGCUGAACCGGAGCACUCCAUUGAUGGCUACCGCUCAGCAAGGACCAUGGUUUUCAUUUUCAGUGAGAUUUCGAGUAAUUAAGGAAGACAGUGACGUAUGAGCCGCUUGUGAAGUGUGCCAGUGUGUAUGCCCCAAUGUCAGCCAAUGAUGACGCAGGGGGUGACAUACUUUUGCAGAAAACCCCUCCUUUGCGCAAAAAAGCCCUCCCUUUAGCGCAUAUGUGGCUUGGGAAAAUAUAGGAACUAAAAAAUGGUACCAUCACGCCAGAUUAGCUCACACACUAACCAGUCGACCACGAAAUAACUUUUGUUUUGUUUACAGACAAAAGGCUCUUUAACACGAUGUUCAACAUCAGCCAAACCAAGGAAUAAACGGAAUUUAAACAUAUUCACUAGCCGUCCAACACUGACAGUAUAAUCUCUGUAAUAAAAUGCUUAAAUAUCCACGUGUUACAAGUAUUGUACUUACGAACAAAAUAAAAUUACUUAAAAAAUUAUGUAUAAUUUAAAAAUAUUCAUCUAUUUACGAAAAUUAUGAAUUAUAAAAAAAUGUAUAACUUAAAUAAUAAAAAUAUAUUAAAAAUUAAAUUAAAUAGAAUUAUUUUAAUUAUAAAAUCAUUUCAAUAAUUACACGCACAUUUGUAUAUCCCAAUGUUUNNNNNNNNNNNNNNNNNNNNNNNNNNNNNNNNNNNNNNNNNNNNNNNNNNNNNNNNNNNNNNNNNNNNNNNNNNNNNNNNNNNNNNNNNNNNNNNNNNNNNNNNNNNNNNNNNNNNNNNNNNNNNNNNNNNNNNNNNNNNNNNNNNNNNNNNNNNNNNNNNNNNNNNNNNNNNNNNNNNNNNNNNNNNNNNNNNNNNNNNNNNNNNNNNNNNNNNNNNNNNNNNNNNNNNNNNNNNNNNNNNNNNNNNNNNNNNNNNNNNNNNNNNNNNNNNNNNNNNNNNNNNNNNNNNNNNNNNNNNNNNNNNNNNNNNNNNNNNNNNNNNNNNNNNNNNNNNNNNNNNNNNNNNNNNNNNNNNNNNNNNNNNNNNNNNNNNNNNNNNNNNNNNNNNNNNNNNNNNNNNNNNNNNNNNNNNNNNNNNNNNNNNNNNNNNNNNNNNNNNNNNNNNNNNNNNNNNNNNNNNNNNNNNNNNNNNNNNNNNNNNNNNNNNNNNNNNNNNNNNNNNNNNNNNNNNNNNNNNNNNNNNNNNNNNNNNNNNNNNNNNNNNNNNNNNNNNNNNNNNNNNNNNNNNNNNNNNNNNNNNNNNNNNNNNNNNNNNNNNNNNNNNNNNNNNNNNNNNNNNNNNNNNNNNNNNNNNNNNNNNNNNNNNNNNNNNNNNNNNNNNNNNNNACUCACAUUUGUAUAGCUCAUGCUUUAAAUUUAAAUGUUUCUCAUUGACUAACCAUCGUCUGUAUGUGUUAUAUUUUUUACAAACAAAACAUGAACACAAAUUUAUUACUUACAUUUUACAUAAAUCUUAAAUCUUUUUGUUACCUACAAUUUACUAAAAAAUUACAUAAUAAAUAGGUUUUAUUUUUUAUUUACUAAUCAUCAUCUGUAUGGAUAACAUUAUUACCACAUAAAUAAUUGAACUUUAUUACUUACGUUUUAAAAUAAUUUUAAAAAUAGUGUGUGCACCAUGGGCUGCAGUAUCUGCAGCCCAUUUAAGCUCCACGUGCGUCUUCGUUAAAUACAUACAUAUAGAUGAUUUGUUAUCCACCUCAAAAAAAUUUGAUUUGGUAUCCCCUUAAGACAUCUUGCCUUCUCGUUGCUGGCCGCCGCGCUCCCUCGCCCUGGCCGCCGCACGCCCUCGCCACGCCAAGCUCCACGUUGCGGCUGCAAGUGUGUGUGUGCCUGGACGGGGGCUACCACGUUGCCGACGAGCUGUGGCGUCCACCAAUCGGCGUGCUGGUGCUUGGCAUCGUCGAGCUGUGGCGCAACGGCGGCGGCGGUGAAGAGCGCGCAUCGUCGGCGUCCACGGCAGCAAGUCGCCGGAGCCGACGUCAGUGCUGUACAACCGGAGCCCGAGCCCUUCGACCCCUCCUUCCUGCCCCCGCCCCCUCUCCACCCGCCGCAGGAGGCCGCCUUCUCGCUCCCGCAGCUCCCGCCGCAGCUCUCCAUCCUGGCACCACAGCCGCAGCUCUCUGUUCCCCGUCUCCACCGCACCAGGCGCUGCCGAGGGAGGAGAUGGAGAUCUGGAGCCCCAGUCGGCGGUAGACGAGCUCCUCGAGGCGGCGCGCGCGAGAUAUUGGUCAAUCACUGGCUCCCCUCGUGUCCCGCCCCGCCGGGGCACCCUCCCUGCUCCACGCCGCCGCGCUGCUGCAUCGCCUCCUCCCGCCCAUGGCCAGGAGCUCAGUCGUCUCGCCGCUCGACGUCGUGCUCAAGCUCGCUGCGCUGGUCGAGUUGCUCGACACGCCCGACAGGCCGCGCUGGUCCAGCUCCUGCUGCGGCCCAGGGCGGAGCGCCUGGUCUCCGGUGGAUGGAGUCCGCGGCGGCGAGCAGGAGGGCGAGCAGCACCACGGUGAGGGCGGCGAGCAGGAGGGCUAAGGGCGGAGGCGGUGAGCGGCAGGCGAGGCGAAAGCGUGCGGUGACAAGUGGAUAAGUGCGUGGGGGGCAACGAGUGGACAUUUUCUCGUUCCCAGCAAAAAAAAAUCACCGGCAGCCCCCUAGGAGGCGAAAAAAUGCCUCCGGGGGGGCUCAACGGCUGGAGAUGCUCUGAGUUGCUUAAGGGUAAUGAUGGUUCAGACUCUUGAACCAUAGGGUAGAGAAGAAUAAUGAGGUAUACAAGCAAGAGAGUCAGCAGCAGCAGAUGCCACUAAUAACAUUUUUUUAAGGAGCAUGAUAUUCAGUCUCCAUUAAUUAAUUAGAUCAAUGCCGCCCACUGACGAAAAUGGGGUUUCCCCCGCUUUAUAUUAUAAAGCAACCGCACCAACAUGCAUCCACAAGAGACGGUUAGAGUUGAGUCCGUCCCUAGGGUGACGGUUCGCGUACGCUCCGUCGAUCGCGGGGCGAUUAGGGUUUUGGUCGUCCGCUUCCAUCUCCUCCAGAUUGCGGAGGCGGUGAUCGUCCUCGUGCUUGUUUGAUCGCGCGUCUCCUUCGACGACGCGAUUCUCCCAUCCAUCCUUUCCCACCAUAGGCCUUCCCUGUGCUCCCUAGGGCACAGGGUCGUAAUACACUUCGGAAACCCUAGGAGGAGUACGGAGGAGGCGUCGGGUGGAGAGCAGGAGAUGGAGGUAGUAGCGGGGCUACUGGGAAACCUGAAGCUCUCGGAAGAGGAGAAGAAAGGAGUUAAGAUCCGUCUAGGGGGGGAAGAACAAGGGGAAGGAAGCGGCGGCCCAAGCGGUAGGAAGAGUUGUUUCAGAGAAACCAACUCACCCUCAUGCGAUCUGUCUCUCCCUGGGAUGGAUCUGGUGCCCAAUUAAGGGUAUUGACUACAAGGAAGCUGGGGACAACAGAUUUGUGUUCACGUUCAAACAAGAGUCCGGGAAGAGGAAAGCACUAGAGGACGGGCCGCGGAUGUUCGACAAAGAAUUAGUGGUUGUGGAAGACUAUGAUCCGGGCAAAAGGAUUGAGGACCACGAUUUUAAUGAGAUCCCGAUAUGGGUGAGGAUUUUUAGCCUCCGCCUUGGCAUGAUGAAUGAGGAUUCAGCGGAGGUGAUGGGCAACAUCAUUGGGCGUUUCAUGGAGGUAGACGCAGGAGCGGAUGGGAGGGCUAUUGGGAAGUUCUUGAGGGUCAAGAUCCGAAUGAACAUUGAGAAACCAGUGAUGAGAGGGUUCACUCUUGAUGAUGAGGAGGGUGGGGGUGCAAACAAGAGGAAGAAACGGAUGAGCAUAGAUGGUAGAGAGGAGGAGGAAGAAGGAGAGGGCUUGUGGUGCAGAUUUGAGUAUGAAUUUUUACCAGACUUCUGUUAUACGUGUGGAACAAUAGGACACGUGGCAAAGGACUGCUCUACCAAGGUGAAAAAAGGGGAGAGAGCUCAGUUUGGGCCGUGGCUGAGAGCAGAUGUUGGGAGGAGGAGGUUUAUGGGGGAGGACGAACGGAGCUGGAAGACAAGGGGUGGAGGAGGUGGAGGGGGAGGAGGUGGAAUCAGGCACUAUGGCUACAACCGAUCGGGAGGACGGGUAGGAAGUGGUAGUGGAAGCGACAGUCUAUCAUGGCGCAAGAGUGCCGGCCGGGACUUGGGUGGCAAAGGAGGUGGGGAAGGAGAAGAAGAGGUGACCAGCCCACCCAAGCUGAAAGACACGGUAGCACCACAUGGGGAAACCCUAAGAAACUAGAUAUGGAGGGAGGUGUGGUGCAGCAGGAGCAGGAGAAGAGAGAUUCCAACAAUGGGAAAAAGGUGGUGGUGCAUGAGCGGAGUAAGGCGGUGGAGGGGGUGCGUGUCACCCAUGGGGGUUCGAUGGCUGUGGAAUCUAAUGAUGGGGAGGAGGUACUCGCAACACGGGAGGAGGAGAACGUGGGAGGGGAGCAGGAGCCGAGCCCACAAAGGAACGGCAGCGGGGUACAUUCAAACGGAGGACUGGUGGUGAGGAGAAGAGGAGGGCUUCUACUGUGUGUAGCGAGAAAAUCGUGGGUCAGAAAAGAAGCCAGAUGGAGAUCAACGAAGACUUGGAGGGUGAAGCAAAGAAGGGAAAGAUUAUGGAGGAUGCGGGGGUGAGUAUGGUGAUAGCACAGGAGGAGGAUGGGAACAAAACAACUAAACAGAUACCGGCCGGGUUGCUCGAGCAGUCCCGCCGGAUGCAAUGAAAAUCGUCAGCUGGAACUGCCGGUGGUUGGGGAACGGCCCGGCAGUUCGGUCUCUUCUCGAGUUGGGAAGAGUGGAGGACCCUGAUAUCUUGUUUUUAUCGGAGACAAGGCUGUAUGAGAAGGAGUUAGAUCAUUUAAGGUGGAAGUUGGGGUUAGCCAACAUGUCAGUAUGGAACCCCGAGGGGAGGAGUAGAGGAAUAGCCAUGUUUUGGAGGAGAGGGGUGGAAGUUUCUCUUAGAUCAUAUGGAAGGAGGCACGUAGAUGUGGAUGUGAAGGAAGGAGAUGAUCCGGUGUGGAGGCUUACUGGUAUGUAUGGAGAGUCGGCUACAGGGAGAAAGAAAGAGACUUGGAGAACACUAAAAAUCCUAAAACAGCAGCACCAACAAGGAAGGCCAUGGCUGUGUGUGGGCGACUUUAAUGAAAUAUUAUCGGAGGUAGAGAAGGUAGGAGGUGCCCCGAGAGCGCAACACAUUAUGGACGGGUUUAGGGAUGCUUUGAUAGUGUGUGAGAUGAAUGAUCUUGGUUUUGAGGGUGAUAUAUUCACAUGGAGGAAUCACAGUAAAGAUGUGAACACAUACAUUUGCGAGAGACUUGACAGGGCCGUCGGUAAUGAAGAAUGGAGAAAGCAAUUCCGGAAUUAUGCAGUGAUCAACGGCAUUCCCUGACACUCCGAUCACAGGCAUGUCAUUGUGCAAACGCAAGGAGCGAGUAAAAAGUGGAUGAAUGGGGACCGUGGUUUUAGGUUUGAAGCAUGGUGGUUACAGGAGGAGGGGUGUGAGGAUGUUAUUCGGGAGGCGUGGGAAAGGAGUUGGGCAGAGAGGGGGGAAGGCGUGGCAGCUGCUCUAAAAACAAUGGCGGAGGCGAUGCGGGUGUGGGAUAGAAAUGUGGUAGGGGAGCUGGAAGGGAGGUUGAAAAAGCAAAAAAUGAUCUAGAGACGUGCAUGCUUUCUAGAGUAUCGCAGGAGAAGAUUGUGGAGGAGGCUAGGCUGAGGUGCUUGGUGGUGGAGUUGGAGGAGAAGAAGAACACCAUGUGGAAGCAGCGGGCACAUGUCUGGUGGCUAGUAGACGGUGAUCGAAAUACACGAUAUUUCCACCUCGUGGCGUCAGGAAGGAAGAAAGCUAAUGGGAUCAAAUAACUGAGGAGGGAGGAUGGGUCGAUCGUGGAGGAAUGGGAUUUGUCUAACUAUGUCUGCUUGUUUUUUCAGGAUCUUUUCUCCUCAUCGGCGGGGGAUAGGGCCCAUGAACUGAUCGAAAUGGUCAGCCCCCGAGUAACUCUUGCCAUGCGUCGCACCCUUGAUGCGGAGUACACUAGAGAAGAGAUCAAGGCAGCACUGGAUCACAUUGGCGAUCUCAAGGCACCUGGUCUGGAUGGCAUGCCCUUCGUUUUCUUCAAGCGACAUUGGCAUUUUAUGGGUGAUCAGGUGGUUGAGGAAGUUCUUAGGGUGCUGAAUGGUGGUAAUAUGCCCGCGGGUUGGAAUGAUACUCUUGUGGUUCUUAUGCCCAAGGUGAAGGACCCCUCCAGAAUCAAGGAUCUGCGAUCGAUCAGCCUCUGCAAUGUCGUUUACAAGCUCAUCUUGAAGGUCAUAGCAAAUCGGUUGAGGGUGGUGCUCCCGGACCUAAUCUCUGAAAACCAGAGUGCCUUCGUACCGGGGCGGCUUAUAACGGAUAACAUUCUGAUUGCCUAUGAGAUCUCGCACUUACUGAGCAACAAGAGGAACGGACAAGAAGGGGUGACAGCGGUGAAGGCUGAUAUGAGCAAGGCGUACGAUAGAGUUGAGUGGAACUUUCUCCAAGCAAUGUUGACCAAGAUGGGCUUCAGUCACCGGUGGAUAAGCCUUGUCAUGAAUUGUGUGCGUACGGUGCGUUAUUAGAUCAAGGUUAACGACAUCCUGACAGACCAGUUCUGCCCGUCGCGUGGCCUGCGUCAAGGAGAUCCUCUGUCGCCCUAGCUCUUCGUCAUAUGUGCCGAGGGUCUUUCUUAUUUGCUGCAUGAGGCUGAGCGGGCGGGCAGGAUUUCGGGCGUCAAGAUAUGCCAAGCUGCGCCGAGCGUCUCACAUCUGUUUUUUGCUGAUGACUCCAUGAUCAUGCUCAAAGCUAACGAGCAGGAGGCGAUCGCCCUUAGGGAGAUUCUGGACUUGUACGAAAAUUGUUCUGGACAAUGCAUCAACUUAGAAAAAUCUGCUCUUAUGUUCUCACAGAACACUUCGGAGGAGUCCAAAGACGAGGUCAAGGCUGCGCUUGGCAUUGUCAGUGAGAAUUGGAACGAGAGAUAUCUCGGCUUACCAGUACAUGUGGGUAGAUCACGAAGGAAGGUGUUUGCGUACAUCAAGAAGAACCUAUGUGGGUGCAUGAAUGGAUGGCAGGAACGGCUGCUGGCCAAAACGAGCAAAGAAACUUUGGUUAAGGCUGUAGGUCAGGCUAUACGGACUUUCACGAUGUCAUGCUUCGACUUAACCAAGGGCUUUUGCAAGGAACUAGACUCUCUGAUGAAAAAAUUCUGUUGGAGUCAACAAGAUAAAGAGAACACGAUGCAUUGCCAGUUGGGAGACUUUGACACAACCAAAGGCACUGGGAGGGCUAGGCUUCAGGAAUAUGUAUGAUUUCAAUAUCGCAAUGCUAUCAUGGCAAGGGUGGCAAUUUUUGCAGGACCCAGAGAGCCUAUGUGCCCGCAUCCUGAAAGCUCGCUAUUUUCCUCAUUGCUCUAUUCUAGAGGCCGAGGCGAAAGAGGGCAUUUCUUAUUCUUGGACAAGUAUAUUGCAUGGCCUACAGCUCAUUAAGCAAGGGUACAUCUGGCGCAUUGGGGACGGUACUCAAGUUAACAUAUGGUCGGACCUGUGGAUCCCUGGGGCCUGGUCGUGUCAAGUUAUCACCCCCAAGGGUCAGAACAUCCUAACACAUGUAAGUGAACUGAUUUGCCCCGUCACUGGCACUUGGGACGCACAACUGGUGCACGAUUUAUUUUGGCUAGAUGACGCCCAACGCAUUCUGCAGAUCCCCCUCCGUGAAGGAGCUACUGACUUCAUUGCGUGGCACUUUGACACCAGAGGGCAGCAUUCGGUCCGGAAUGCGUACAAGCUACAAGUUCAUCUUGAAAGGAAGAGCAGCACGGCUCGAGCUGGGAGUAGCAGCAUGAUUCCUGGCAACUUUGAGAGCUGCGACGAUCAGUCCUGGAAGCGCCUCUGGAAACUUCCGUGUCCGCGAAAAAUUCAGAUGUUCGCAUGGAGGUUGAAACACGAGUCACUUGCCUUUAGAACCAAUCUAACCAGGAGGGGUAUGAAGCUCGACAACACCAAGUGUCUGUUCUGCGGAUGUGCUGACGAGGAUGGAGCUCACCUUUUCAUCAAGUGUAAACAUGUGAAGCCAAUGUGGAGGGCACUCGGGUUUGAAAAAGAGAGGAUUGAGCUCGAAGAGAUCACGUCUGUGCAUGCAGUGAUGGACUACUUAUGGGGCCUAAAUGAAAAUAUGCGCGUGCAGAUUCUCACCAUGUGGUGGCACUGGUGGAAUAAUUGCAAUAAGCUUAGAGAGGGAGAGCUGGCAGUAUCCUGCGAAGAACUGACACGGCGAGUACUGUCAAACUCGCUGGAAUACUCGUAGUUGUUCGCGAAUAGAACGAAAAAGAAAGAGAAGCUGGAAUGGCGGCCCCCUAGCGACGGGAUGAUCAAGAUCAAUCUGGACGGCGCCUUCAAACUGGGAGACACUUUUGCCACUUGGGGAGUCGUGGCCGGGGACGAGUCUGGAGAGGUAAUCACUGCCCGUGCAGGCAAGACGGAGCAGGUGGCAAGUCCGUUUGGGGCUGAAGCCAUACACUAGUAGAAAAGGGGGCAAUGGUCCAGGCCGGGUCAGCCCAUUAGUCCCGGUUCAAUCCAGAACCGGGACCAAUGGGGGCAUUGGACCCGGUUCGUGAGCCCCGGGGGCCGGCCGGGCCACGUGGGCCAUUGGUCCCGGUUCGACAGGACCUAUUGGUUCCGGUUGGUGGGAUGAACCGGGACCAAUGGGCCUCGCUCCUGGCCCACCACCAUUGGUCCCGGUUGGUGGAAUGAACCGGGACCAAAGGAUGCCCUUUAGUCCCGGUUCGUGGCACGAACCGGGACCAAUUAGUUGCCUAUAUCUACCCCUCGCCCGCGAGCAGAGCACUCCCAGUGCUCUGUUUUUCGUGGCCGGCGAGGGGAGAGCUUUGUGGUGCUCUAGCUCACCUACUAUGCACACGAGGUGUUCGAUGGAAUGCCCGAGCCACACUACUUAAGCUUUCUCCUCUCCAAGCUCGACCUCCAAGCUCCAUUUUCCUUAAUAUUUGUCUAGGUUUAGCGGUCCGUCCCAUCCCGUCCCCGUCUUCACUGCCGUUGAUCGCCCGCGCCGAUCUCGUCGCCGGCACCACCGUGGUGAGCCUCUUGUUCUUAUCUUCUUUCUGAAAGGAAAAAAAUCUUAUUUUUCUUACUUUUAUUAUUGCAUCUUAUAUAGUGCGAUGGUUUUGGUAUCCGCACCCGUCGGCCCUCGUCCUGUCUAUGAUUCAGAUGUGGUAUAUAUUAUCUUUUCAUAACUAUUGGUUCAUUUAUUGUUUAUGACAAUUAUGCCGACCAACGUGACAUAGAUUUUAUUUAUCUAGGAGGUUGUUGAACCGGAAAUUCCAACCGACCCUAUUGUCGAGAGGUUCAAUUUAGUUGAAGAAGAAAACAAUUUGUUGAAGGAAAAAAUUAGAAAAAUUGAGGAGGAGAAGAUGAUAUUGGAGUUGCAUGUUGCAGAUGUCGUCGAUGAUCACAAGAUCAAGAUGGAUGCAAUGCGCUUGAAGAUUAGAAAGAUUAGAAAAUAUGCCAUUCAUACCGAGGCUUGGUAUCAUUAUGCCAUUGGAUCAGUUGUUACAUUGGUUGCGAUUAUGAUCGCAUUUGUUUUCGCAUUGAAAUGUUUUACAUAGUUUCAGUGUAUGGUUUAAUUAAUUUAGAUGCUCUGCAGAGCUUUAUGUUGUUAGAUGAGAACUAUGUAUGUACUUUGGUUUUAAUGUGAUGAUGAACUUCUAUUAAUUUGGUCACUUAAUUAUCUAUUCAUGAUGUUCUGUAAUGAUUUUUGACACACUUAAUUAUAUAUAAUGCACGCAGAUGAACCGGCAUUGGAUGUACGGUUCAAGACACACCUCCGAGUACAUUAAGGGCGUGCAUGAUUUUCUCGAAGUGGCUGAGGCAAACAAGCAAAAUGGUUUUAUGUGUUGUCCAUGCCCUAUAUAUGGGAAUACGAAGUCUUACUCUGACCGGAAAAUCCUCCACACCCACCUGCUUUACAAGGGUUUCAUGCCACACUAUAAUGUUUGGACAAGGCACGGAGAAAUAGGGGUUAUGAUGGAAGACAGCGAAGAAGAAGAGUACGAUGACAACUAUGUGCCCCCUGAAUACGGUGAUGCUACUGAAGAUCAAGAGGAACCAGACGAUGUGCCCGAUGAUGCUGCAACGGGCGAAGCUGCUGAAGAUCAAGAGGAACCAGACGAUGUGCCCGAUGAUGAUGAUCUCCGCCGGGUCAUUGUCGAUGCAAGGACGCAAUGCGAAAGUCAAAAGGAGAAGCUGAAGUUCGAUCGCAUGUUAGAGGACCACAAAAAAGGGUUGUACCCCAAUUGCGAAGAUGGAAACACAAAGCUCGGUACCGUACUGGAAUUGCUGCAGUUGAAGGCAGAGAAUGCUGUGCCUGACAAAGGAUUUGAGAAGGUACUGAAAAUAUUGAAGAAGAAGCUUCCAAAGGAUAACGAAUUGCCCGACGGUACAUACGCAGCAAAGAAGGUCGUAUGCCCUCUAGGAUUGGAGGUGCAGAAGAUACAUGCAUGCCCUAAUGACUGCAUCCUCUUCCGCGGUGCGUACAAGGAUCUGAACGCAUGCCCAGUAUGCGGUGCAUUACGGUAUAAGAUCAGACGAGAUGACCCUGGUGAUGUUGACGGCGACCCCCCAGGAAGAGGGUUCCUGCGAAGGUGAUGUGGUAUGCUCCUAUAAUACCACAGUUGAAAUGUCUGUUCAGAAACAGAGAGCAUGCCAAGUUGAUGCGAUGGCACAGUGAGGACCGUAAGAAAGACGGGAAGUUGAGAGCACCCGCUGACGGGUCGUAGUGGAGAAAAAUCGAGAGAAAGUACUGGGAUGAGUUUGCAAGUGAGCCAAGGAACGUAUGGUUUGCUUUAAGCACGGAUGGCAUUAAUCCUUUCGGGGAGCAGAGCAGCAAUCACAACACCUGGCCCAUGACUCUAUGUAUGUAUAACCUUCCUCCUUGGAUGUGCAUGAAGCGGAAGUUCAUUAUGAUGCCAGUUCUCAUCCAAGGCCCUAAGCAACCCGGCAACGACAUUGAUGUGUACCUAAGGCCAUUAGUUGAAGAACUUUUACAGCUGUGGAAUGGAAAAGGUGUACGUACGUGGGAUGAGCACAAACAGGAGGAAUUUAACCUAAAGGCGUUGCUGUUCGUGACCAUCAAAUAUGGCCCGCUCUCAGUAACCUUUCAGGACAGGCAAACAAGGGAUACCACGCAUGCACGCACUGUUUACUUGACACCGAUAGUAUAUACCUGGCAAGCUGCAGGAAGAAUGUGUACCUGGGCCAUCAUCGAUUUCUUCCGACCAACCAUCAAUGUCGAAAGAAAGGCAAGCAUUUCAAAGGCGAGGCAGAUCACCGGAAGAAGCCCACCAUGCGUACCGGUGAUCACGUACUUGCUAUGGUCAAUGAUUUACACAUAAUCUUUGGAAAGGGUCCCGGCGCACUAGCUGUUCCGAGUGACGCUGGGGGACACGCACCCAUGUGGAAGAAGAAAUCUAUAUUUUGGGACCUACCCUACUGGAAAGACCUAGAGGUCCGCUCUUCGAUCGACGUGAUGCACGUGACGAAGAACCUUUGCGUGAAUCUUCUAGGCUUCUUGGGCGUGUAUGGGAAGACAAAAGAUACAACUGAGGCACGGGAGGACCUACAACGUUUGCACGAAAAAGACGGCAUGCCUCCAAAGCAGUAUGAAGGUCCUGCCAGCUAUGCUCUUACCAAAGAAGAGAAGGAAAUCUUCUUUGAAUGCCUGCUUAGUAUGAAGGUCCCGACUGGCUUCUCGUCUAAUAUAAAAGGAAUAAUAAAUAUGGCAGCGAAAAAGUUUCAGAACCUAAAGUCUCAUGACUGCCACGUGAUUAUGACGCAACUUCUUCCGGUUGCAUUGAGGGGGCUUCUACCGGAAAACGUUCGAUUAGCCAUUGUGAAGCUAUGUGCAUUCCUCAAUGCAAUCUCUCAGAAGGUGAUCGAUCCAGAAAUCAUACCAAGGCUAAGGAGUGAUGUGGUGCAAUGUCUUGUCAGUUUCGAGCUGGUGUUCCCACCAUCCUUCUUCAAUAUCAUGACGCACGUCCUAGUUCAUCUAGUUGACGAGAUUGUCAUUCUGGGCCCCGUAUUUCUACACAAUAUGUACCCCUUUGAGAGGUUCAUGGGAGUCCUAAAGAAAUAUGUCUGUAACCGCGCUAGGCCAGAAGGAAGCAUUUCCAUGGGCCAUCAAACAGAGGAUGUCAUCGGGUUUUGUGUUGACUUCAUUCCUGGCCUUAAGAAGAUAGGUCUCCCUAAAUCGCGGUAUGUGGGGAGACUGACUGGAAAAGGCACGCUUGGAAGGGACUCAAUAAUAUGCAGGGACGGAUAUUCUUGGUCUCAAGAACACUACAUAGUUCUACAAAACUCUACCUUGGUGACCCCGUAUGUCGAUGAACACAAGAACAGUCUGCGCUCCAAACACCCGGAGCAGUGCGACGACUGGAUUACAUGUGAACACAUCAGGACUUUCAGGAGUUGGUUGGGAGCACGUAUCAGAGGUGACAACACUGUUUGUGAUGAGCUGUACUUGUUGUCCAGGGGACCAUCUUUGACUGUAUUGAUUUGGAAAGGAUACGAGAUAAAUGGGAAUACAUUUUACAUGAUUGACCAAGAUAAAAAAAAACACCAACCAAAACAGCGGUGUCCGCUUUGAUGCAACAACCGAGAGGGGAAAGGACACAUAUUAUGGUUACAUAGUGGACAUAUGGGAACUUGACUACGGAGUAGAUUUUAAGGUCCCUUUGUUUAAGUGCAAAUGGGUCAAUCUGUCAGGAGGCGGGGUACAGGUAGACCCACAGUACGGAAUGACAACAAUGGAUCUGAAAAAUCUUGGAUACACUGACAAACCGUUCGUCCUAGCCAAUGAUGUGGCACAGGUUAUCUAUGUGAAGGACAUGUCUACCAGACCGAGAAAGAGAAAAGAUAAGGAAGCGAAUACAUCAUACGAUGAGCCAAAGCGCCACAUAGUUCUUUCUGGAAAAAGGGACAUCGUGGGAGUGGAGGACAAGACAGACAUGUCUGAAGAUUAUGAAAAGUUUCAUGAAAUUCCUCCCUUCAAAGUGAAGGCUGACCCUAGCAUCCUGAUAAACGAUGAAGAUUAUCCAUGGUUACGGAGCAAUAAGCAAAUGACACAAGCGAAGAAAAAGUGAAGACUUUCUCCAGCAACUAUUAUGAUGAUACCAUGCCAACUUUGUAACUGACGAGUAUGAUACCAUUGUCUGUUUUGUACAUGCACAUGCUAUGUGGGUCAAUUUAUGAUACCAUGCCAACUUUCAACUUUUUCAGAGUUCAUUUGAAAUGCUUUAAUGUCUUAAGGUUCGACCCUUGUAAUAAUUAAAAAUAGCAACAAUAAGUAUUUUUUGUAAGUAGAAACAAAAUAAAAUAAAUAAAGCAAGAAAGAAAACAAAAAAACAAAAAAAGUGUUUUCAAAUUUGAAAACUAAUGGCACUAACAGAAAGUUUAUAAUUUUCCUAAAACUAAAAGCAAAAACAAUUAAAAAAUAAAGCAAAAAACAAAAGAAAAUAAAUAAUGCAGAAAACAAAAGAAAAAACUGGAAAAAAAUAAAUAUAGCAACAAUAAGUAAAGAAAACAAAAAAACAAAAAAAUGCCUCCUACUGGGCCCCCACGGCCUGAAUACGACUAGAAACCCUACUAUGGGCCAGGGUUCAGGCCCGCAGUAGGCCCAGAAGGCCCAUCAGGCAAAGCAACAGCAAGUAGGCCCGAAAGCCUGCGGUGGAGAGAAGCUCAAGAGGGGUGCGGCAGUGGGGCUUAUAAACCACUGCGCGCCCCUCUCAACUAGCGAGGUGGGACUAAACUUUGGCCCCGAGGCGGGCAGCACAGAGGCGUUUGGUCCCGGUUGGUGGCACCAACCGAGACUAAAGGGGGGCAUUAGUCCCGGUUGGUGGCACCAACCGGGACUAAAAGGGGGCAUUAGUCCCGGUUUGUGCCACGAACCGGGACCAAUGCUCUUGCUAUAUAUACAGCACUUAUCAGUUUUCGCCAAAAUCCAUCUGUUUCUUCUCGCCCCGACGCCUUCUGUUCCUCGUCGCCAUCGCCGCCGAGCCCUGCCCCGACGCCAUCAGGCUGGUCCACCUCGCCGUCGCCGCCGCUGAGCCACUACCCCGACACCGUCGCCGCGCCCGCCGCCCCUGCCGGCCCCAACCCCGUCGCCGUCGCCGCGNNNNNNNNNNNNNNNNNNNNNNNNNNNNNNNNNNNNNNNNNNNNNNNNNNNNNNNNNNNNNNNNNNNNNNNNNCACGCCACCCGUUCCCCGACCACGUCGCCGUCGCCGCGCGCGCCGCCCCUUCCCCGACCCCGUCGCCGUCGCCGCGCGCGCCACCCCUUCCCCAACCCCGUCGCCGUCGCCCCGACCACACGCCGCCGCCUUCGGUCCGGCCGCCGGCGCCCUUUCCUCUUAUUUUUUUGUGCAUUUUAUGUAUAUGUUCUCUAUGUAUAUAUGUAUAUAUUCUCUGUGUAUUAAUUAACCCCCUUCUUCAAAUUAGACGUGGCAGAUGCGGAAUGAACUCCUAGAACCAGAUCGCAUGAAAGCAAUUCAAGAGGAAUUGGCGAGAUUCUUUCUUGACCACGUCAUCAAUAAAGCCGGAGAAUACCAUGUGGAAAUUGAUUUCAAUUGCUAGGGGAUUGUAAUUAUAAGAGAUCUUAUACAUAUUGUACAUGCAUGUAUGUAGCUAGUAGCGUCAGAUACUUGUUGUUCGACCAAUCUCUCGGAGAAGGAGAGAGGUCGAUCGAUCACUUCUCUCGGUAUGCAUGAACUUCUGUACUGAAUGGUUCUCUCAAUCACUUAUGUAUAUAUAGUACGUAGAGUCGACCAAGCACGGACAUAAGAGAGGACACUUCUAUCUAUUAAUUAGCUAGCUAACACAAUAUAUGAAACACGUAAAUUAACCCCCCAAAACCCCCAAUCCCCCCCCCUCCUUUCAAAAAAAUAACAAAAACCCCAACCAAUGAAAUGCUGACGCGUGGAUGCUUUUUGGUCCCGAUUGAUGCCACCAAUCAGGACCAAAGGACCCCUGACUGGGCUCGGCGCAGGGGGCCACGUGGAGGCACAUUGGUUCCGGUUCUUGUUUGAACCGGGACUAAUGGGUGGAGGUAUUAGUAACGGCCCAUUAGUCCCGGUUCAUGAACCGGGACUAAAGGCCCUUACGAACUGGGACUAUUAGGUGUUUUUCUACUAGUGAUAGCACUCUCUGAAGCAAUCAACACUGCUGCGAAUCUAGGGGUGUUGCGUGUUGUUUUUGAAACCGACUCAACACUUCUUCAGGAAGCUAUGAACAUGAGGAGAGCAGACUCAUCACCGUAUGCAGCACUCAUCAAAGAUUCCAAGCUCCAACUCAGGCUGUGGUUCUCGAAACAACAGGUCCAAGUGUGUCGUAGGAAGGCAAAUUCAGUCGCACAUGAACUAGCCCAAGUAGAGCGUCAGUGCAUGUCUAAUAAUUGUAUCGUGUGGAACGAUGAUGUACCGCCCCGAGUGGCGAUUUGUGUUUCUGGCGAUUUGGCCAGGCACCAUUAAGUUAUAAAGCUUUGCUUUGCCCUAAAAAAAAAAACCAUCCACAAGAGAGGUCUCAGGUUCAAAGUUCAAUAACAAAGAAGGAAAGAAAAACAACAGGAUCCAAAUAAGUCUUGCUGGGGGCACAGCACAACAUCCCCUGAAUAAAUCAACACCGCACACUAGAUGCAAGAAGCUUAUUCAUCCGGAGGAUUACAUCGCACAAGUAACCAAACCGGUUGUCUCCGGUCAAACUAUGUAAACCAACAACAGCACUGGCCAGGGCGGGUGCAAAACGUGAAAUGCUGCUGUCCCCGCGCCAACCUGCUGCACAUGUCGUCGCAAGCGGAAUAACUGCAUGCUUGACCUAUCAAAAAGGAGCAAUAUCGGGUACCACCUGGAGGAGAUGCAGCAAGAUCAUACUUAUGCGCGCCAUGGCAGGACGGUAAGGUACAGGCAGACACCAUUGCAAGGACCAGGAAAGCAAUAGCCAUGGUCCUCAUCUUGUUGUUCGGGUUGACGAGGGCCAUGAGGAGAAGAGGCGUGACUAUUGUGUUUGUUCUUCUUCCUUGUGUGCUCCUUCUCUG